AGUACAACGGGUGGCUCUAAUGCAAAAGGAAGGUAAGCUAAUGCAACUAGGGCGCUAGGCCCUUACCGCGAUCCUCGCCGGGUGAACUCGCACUCGGCCCUGCAAUAAAGUGGGGUGAGAACUAUUGUCCAUAGUUCCCAGUGGGUUCGGCCGCCGACUCCGCCGGUCUCCCCACUAGGUCCAAGUGGGCACAAAUAGAUAAACAGAUAGAUAGAUAUGGAAAGCUGUAAGGACAGAAUAGAAAACUACACUACUAUACCCGAAUCAUAAAUAUAUGAAUGCACGUUCAUAGAAAUAGGUAAGCAACUAACUCGUCAUCAUGUCCAAGAAGUAAAGCUAUUUACUUGUUCAUUAAUCUCAUGGCUCACCCGAGGGUUCGCCUACUACUCACAUAGCCAUCUUGACGCGUAGGGAGACUCAACUCAAACUACGAAUCCGAGACCGUCUGCGGGACCCCACAUAGGCUAUCCCUCGGGACCCCAAAUAGGCUAUCCCUAUCCCACGGGACCCCAAAUAGGCUAUCCCACGUGACCAACUCCGGAGCGCACUACUUGUGUGGAGCUACCAUCACAAGUUCUGAACAGACAGUGAGUAUAAUCCAAUCCUCUUAUCUCGAGGAUACCCUAUCCUCUAGGGUUACUAUCAUCGGAAAGUCAAUAGGUUUCAUAUACACUAAGACUCACAUAUGCCACUCGUUCUUUGUUUACUAUCAACUAGGUGCCACUCGUUCUUUUGUUUAUUAUCAACUAGAUGCCACUCGUUCUUUUGUUUUCAACCAUCGAGUCCAUUUUCAUCUCUGCAUUAUAGGAUUCAUAAGUCUCGACCCAAUCCUCAUCAAUCCACUAUAUCAAGCAACUAAUGUACACUAUGAUAUCAUCUAGGAAAGCAUAAGGAAAGGCAAUGCACAAUUAUCCUACAAUGCAUGUGAAUACAAGAUGCAAGAUUUCAAUGUACUAAGACAUAGGAGGGAGUCCAGUUGCUUCGGGAUGGUCACCACCCACCUCUUGGUAGUGCCACGAAAUUAGAAAACCCAACGUCGCUUCAACUCCUCGGGGCAACCAAACCCUCAAGUACUUGUUUUGGCGAUAACUCCGCACCCGCUCGUCGGAUCGACGAACCGUCUUCGCCAACGUUUUUAUAGACCUAGCAAUUAGGUUUACAGAGGGUUAAUUGAGAUCAAACCCCCAUAUUUCCAAAAAUUGCAUUUUGAACCCUAGGUUUCAACUUUUGCAAAAAUUCACAAAAUUGAUCCAUGAUUUAGGCAACAAUCAUCUAUUUAGCAUCAUAGGAUUCCAAUAAAUCCAUUUUUAUAGCAUAUAAAUAAAGCCCUAAAAUUCUACCAUUAUAGGGUUUUGAAGUGCCCUAGGUUUCAACAACGAGGAAAUCCAUGGUUCAAGCUUCAAAUUCGAGCUAGGACCAUCUAACUAGCUCCAAUAGGUUCCAUUCGAACCAAUUCUAAACCAUAAAACCCUAUCUUAAGGAAUCUACCAUUAUAGGGUUUUGGAGCUUACCUCUAAAAGCUUCUCCGAGGUUGAGGGAGAGGAGGAAGAAGAUGAUCUUCCUCUUCUUGGUCUUCUUCUCCUUCCUUCUUUCUUUUCUUUUUCCUUUCUUUUCCUUCUCCUUUCCUUCUUCUUUCUUUCUUUCUUUCUUUCUUUCUAGAGAGAGAGAGGGAAAAGAAUGUGAGAGUGGGAGAGAAUGAGAGAACGUGAGGGAGAAGGUGUGUGUGUGUGUGUGUGUGUGUGUGUACACGCAUGCAACCAGCCCACAUGUAGGUGCUGUAACAAUUGCACAAAACCCCCUCUCACACCUAUUACAACUUGUAGUUUCGCAGUUUGGAACAGUCGGAGCCCUUUUGAAUGUCCGUUUGCGCUCAAAUUCGACAGGCAGGCUUGGUUUAAUGUACUGAGCAAGAAUAUAUCUUAAGUUUUCAGUUUCGACCCCGUUUGGUCACCGAAAACUAUGCCAAACUGUAAUCUUUAGCAGAUAGCAGUUCGAUUUUAUUCUCCACCUUCCGGGUGUCAGAAUGGGCCAAAACUUUAAAUCUAACCUCAUAAAAAUAAUUCUGACGUAUCCUCCAGUUUUCAUAAUUUUCUGACACUGUACAUUUUCUGCUAAUUUCUCUGCCCCGUUUCUCAUAGAAAAUUCUAAAUUUUCUGUUUUCGCUCCGAUUUCAGUACAGGUCAUUUCCAACUUAUAUUUUACUUCUAUGAGUCCAAUAAAAUAGUAUCUCAUACUAUUUUUAUUUAUAUUUAUUUUUAUAAUAAACUCCGACAUACUAUAUCCUAACGUAACUUCUUAUUUUCAGAAGUUCGGUAUCCUACAAGAGGGCUACUAGAGUCCUCUUCUAUGUCCACACUCCAAAACCCUAGGAACUAGGUAGAAAUCGCAAAGAGAAAGAAGAGAGAGAAGAAGGAAGAUAGAUCGUAGAUUCUCUUAGAUCAAAUUAGAUCGUAUGAUACGGGAGAGAAAAUGGGACAUAUUUAUAGAAUAACGGAACCCCUAAAAUAUCCCGAAUCUGACAUAGAGAUUAGGAUUAGGAUAUUCAUAAUAGACAUCUACUAGGAAAUACGUUUCUUACCUAAUAAGAAGCAUUUAAUCCAUCCUUAUCUUUAACUUAUAAGGAUAAACAGGAUCGGGUUAAAUUAAUAUUCGCCAAUGUGGACGCACUAUAUGGCAACUAGGGGUGGAAACGAGCCGAGCUCGAGCGAGCUUACCUCGGCUCAAAUUCGGCUUGAAAUUAAUUUCGAGCUUAAAUUUAAGCUCAAGCUUGGAUUGAAANCGAAUCCUCAUCAAUCCACUAUAUCAAGCAACUAAUGCAUAAUAUGAUAUCAUCUAGGAAAGUAUAAGGAAAGGCAAUGCACAAUUAUCCUACAAUGCAAGUGAAUACAAUAUGCAAGAUCUCAAAGUACUAAGACAAGGGGAGUCCAGUUGCUUCGGGAUGGUCACCACCCACCUUUUGGUAGUGUCGCGAUAGUAGAAAACUCGACUUCGUAGUCCUUGGUUGACGCUUCGACUCCUCGGGUCGAUUCGAACCCCUAAGUGCUUGGUUCGGCUAUAUCUUUGCACCCACUCGUCGUAUCGAUGAACCGUCUUCGCCGACGCGUUCAGAGACCUAGCAAUUAGGUUUACAACCCGUCGAAAUAGAUCAAGACCCCACGUUUUCAAAAAUCCCAAAACACGCCAUAGAAUGGCAACGAGGGAGAAAUCUAUGGUUCAAGCAAUAAAACCCAAUCUCAAGAAAUCCACCAUGGAUGGGUUUGGGGCUUACCUCUAUACCAAGAUCCAAGCUUGCUCUAACUUGAAGGAGAGAGGGAAGAAGAUGAUAUUCUUCUUCUUCUUGGUCUUCUCAUUCCUCUUUCUCUUUUUUUCCUUCUUUCCCUUCUCUCCUUCUCUUUUUCUUUUCCUUUCGUUCUAGAGAGAGAGAGAGGGAGAGAGAGAGAGAGCAAAUGAGAUAAAUGGGAGAGGGAGAGAGGUCCCCCACCUCUCAUAUAGGCCAUUUUACAAAUAGGCCCCUCAACUUUCCAUCUAUUAAACAGCCCUCACUGGGCUGAUUUUGCAGCGAGGGACCGGUCCCAAGUCAGGGAGAUCGGUCCCUGAGAGCCUUCCAUCUCGGGCAGAGAGAGUUUCGUGUUCGGGAACCGGUCCCUGCUCGAGAGACCGGUCCCCGGGAGACCGGUCCUUGCCUCGGAGACCGGUUCCCGAGAGUUAGAUUUUCGGGACUUAACCAAAUUUCGGCUAUUUCUCGCUGGGUUAACGUUCGGGGACCGGUCCUCCCCUGCCAGGGACCGGUUGCAUCAAGGAUCCCCGCAAGCCCAGCCUAAUGGGACUGGUCCGUCCCUGCCAGGGACCGAUCCCCGAGAGCAAUUAUGCUCCAGUGCAGAUUUUGCACUGCUGCUCUCGCGGACUCUUCCUUAAUGCACUUUAUGCAUUAUAAUCACCUUCGGACUUUCCGGAGCUUACUCACUCGACAGCUAGUCGAUUCUAGACGAAGUCAAAUCCUCAGAUUUCGAGAAUUCACUUCCUUACAUCCUUCCCACCUUAAAAGAGUUUCGUCCUUGAAACAAACUCAAUACUACAAAACUUAUUUAGAACUUUAAAUUCUAAACUCAUACCUUGAUUUAAUCCUCGAACAAGUGAGGGUGAUUCGCUUUCAUCUCCUUCUCGAGCUCCCAGGUGGCUUCGCGAUCGCUAUGAUUGCUCCACCGAACCUUAACAUAUGGAAUUUCUCGAUUCCUUAACUUGCGCACUUCACGAGCUGUAAUUGCAACCGAAAACUCCUCGUAGCUCAGGUCUUCCUGAAGUUCCGGCUGUUCAUACAACAUUGCGUGCUCGGGAUCAGGUAUGUACUUGCAAAGAUUGGAGACGUGGAAUAUAUUGUGCACAUCCGCGAGCUUCGGCGGCAAUGCUAAUCGAUAAGCCACCGUCCCAAUCCGCUCCAAGAUCUCAUAAGGGCCAAUGUAUCGGGGACUUAGUUUUUCCCGAACUCCAAAUCGCUUAACGCCUCGCUUGGGCGAAACCUUCAAGAAAACGCGGUCGCCUACCGCAAACUCCAAGUCUUGCCGGUGCCUAUCUGCAUAGCUCUGUUGUCGAGACUGCGCUGUGAGUAGCCUCUUGCGAGCAAGGCGGACUUUCUCUUCUGCCUCUCGCAAUACAUCGGGACCAAACUCCGUGCACUCGCCCACAUCGCUCCAAUAAAUGGGAGAUCGGCACUUCUGCCCAUAAAGAGCCUCGAAUGGUGCCAUCUCCACACUAGCAUGGUAGCUGUUGUUGUAGGCAAACUCGGCCAUCGGUAAAUACUUGCACCAUCCACCUUUAUAAUCAAUGACACACUCUCGCAGCAUAUCCUCUAGUGUUUGAAUGGUUCUCUCGGUUUGCCCAUCUGUCUGAGGAUAGAAUGCGGUGCUGAAAUCGAGCCGCGUGCCAAGAGCCUCCUGCAGGCUUUUCCAGAAAUGUGAAGUGAACUUGGGGUCUCUAUCCGACACAAUUGUCUUCGGUACCCCGUGCAACCUCACUACCUCAUCAAGAUAUACCUGCGCCAGCUUAUCUCCCGCCCAGGUGGUGUGGAACGGCAAAAAGUGCGCUUAUUUAGUCAAGCGAUCCACAAUCACCCAAAUUGCGUCGUGGCCCCCUGUCGAGCGAGGCAAGCCAACGACGAAAUCCAUCGAUAUGUCCUCCCAUUUCCAGACGGGGAUAGGUAGGCUUUGAAGCUUUCCUGCUAGAAAUCGGCGCUCCGCUUUCACUUGCUGACAAGUCAAACACUUCGCCACGAAGCGCCCAAUAUCAACUUUCAUCCCCGGCCACCAAUAGAGUGCUCUCAACUCAUGAUACAUCUUGGUGCCGCCCGGGUGAUCAGUAUAUGGAGACCGGUGAGCUUCUUGUAAAAUCAGCUCACGAAGCUCCUCAUUCUCGGGCACACACCACCGGUUUCGAAACCGAAGUGCGCCCCUGGCGUCUACACUGAAAUCGCCGCCUCGACCUUCCUCGAUGUUACGCCUCACCUUUUGGAGACUCGGAUCUGCAGGUUGCAAAAUCCUGAUCCUCUCUAACAAGGUUGCCUGAACAACGAGCGCCAUUAGUCGAGUCGGAGUUUUUGGAGUCACCACCUCGAGAUCUAUUCGCUCCAUGUCCAACCAUAGGGGCGAUUGAUUAGUAACCCACAUUGCGAGGUUCUCCGCCGACUUCCUACUAAGCGCGUCCGCGACCACAUUCGCUUUGUCGGGGUGGUAGAGAAUAUUGACAUCAUAAUCCUUUAACAACUCCAACCAUCGCCAUUGACGCAUAUUCAACUCCUUCUGGGUAAAUAGAUAUUUCAGACUUUUGUUGUCGGUGUAGAUCUCGCAGUGCGCGCCAUAUAGGUAGUGCCUCCACAACUUCAACGCAAAGAUCACCGCCGCCAACUCCAAGUCAUGAAUGGGAUAAUUCUUCUCAUGGUCCUUUAACUGACGGGAUGCAUAAGCUAUCACUCUCCCGCCUUGCAUCAGGACACACCUCAAACCCAGAUAGGAUGCAUCACUAUAGACCGCAAAGUCCUCGCCCUGCACCGGUAAGGCGAGUAUCGGAGCCGAAGUUAACCUUUCCUUUAACUCGUUAAAACUCCGGUCACAACCGUCGCUCCAAAUAAACUUGACGCCCUUUUGCGUCAGACAGGUGAGCGGAGUCACAAUCUUCGAAAAACCCUCCACAAACCGUCGAUAGUAACCCGCUAAGCCUAUAAAGCUUCGGACCUCCGAGACGUUCGUUGGGCGCGGCCAAUUCUCAACUGCUUCGACUUUUCUCGGGUCAACUGAAACACCGCCCUCAGAAAUCACGUGCCCCAGGAAGGCGACCUCUCGAAGCCAGAAGUCACAUUUCUUUAGCUUCGCAAAUAGCUUCUCCUCCCGAAGGAUUUGAAGCACUAUUCGCAAAUGCUCCGCAUGCUCCUCGUCGCUCCGCAAAUAGACCAAGAUGUCGUCUAUGAAGACCACGACAAAUCGGUCCAAGCACGCCUUGAACACACGGUUCAUUAGAUCCAUGAAUGCUGCCGGGGCAUUAGUGAGCCCGAAAGGCAUAAUCGUGUACUCAUAGUGUCCAUAUCGCGUGCGAAACGCGGUUUUCUGAACAUCCUUCGACUUAAUCUUUAACUGAUGAUAGCCGGAUUGUAGGUCUAUCUUCGAGUACACUCGUGAUCCCUGUAACUGAUUGAAUAAGUCGUCGAUUCGGGGCAACGGGUACUUAUUCUUUAUCGUGACCCUAUUCAACUCUCGAUAAUCCACGCAGAGUCGAAACGAGCCAUCCUUCUUGCACACGAACAACACCGGGGCUCCCCACGGCGACACGCUCGGCCUGAUAAACCCCUUGUCGGGGAGAUCUUGCAACUGAUCCCUCAGCUCCCUUAGCUCUGCCGGCGCCAUACGAUACGGAGCCUUUGAGAUCGGCGCCGUCCCGGGAGCCAAGUCUAUAACAAACUCGAUCUCCCGAUCCGGCGGCAUCCCCGGUAACUCCAUGGGAAAUACAUCUGGGAAUUCCCGCACCACCGAUAAUUCUUCUAAAUUCGGAGCCACUCCCACAACGGUAGCCAAAAAUGCUACGCAGCCGCCGUUGACCAACUUUCUAGCUCUCGUCGCUGAUACCAUCGCAACGAAGCAAGAAUUUCGACAAGCUCGAUAAACGAACUCCUUCUGUCCGGGCUCCCGAAAGGUGAUCAAUUUGUUCUUACAAUCGAUCAUAGUGUAAUAUUUUGAGAGCCAGUCCAUGCCCAAAAUAACGUCAUACGCCUCUAAUUUAUUGAGUUCCAACAUCCUAAUGGGCAUUAUCCACUUGCCUACUUGCACUGGGCACGACGAGCACUCUGUGUAGGUAUUGAAUGACGACUCAGGGCCUUCCACUCGCCACUUGCCACUUGCUUCUAUGUGUAUGUCGUGCAUGCAUGCAAAUGCUCUACUAAUGAACGAAUGCGUGGUACCUGUAUCAAAGAUAGCCCUGGAGCGAACUCCGUUAAUUAAAACCAUACCUGCCAUGACGUCAGGCUCCUCGGCUUGGGUAGACUCCUCGGUUUGGGCCUGAGCGGCAAAUACCCGCCCGCUCGGUGCUGACCGGGUCACCUCCGGCUGACGCAGCAUCAGUGCGCGUCCCGCUGAUACGGGAACAUAUGGGGCCCCUCCAUGAUGAGGCGGGGGUGCUAGAGUUGACGCCGCUGACGGAGUAGACGAGGCCCUUGCUGGACAGUCGCAGCUUAUGUGCCCUUCCUGCCCGCAGUCGUAGCAUUUACCUUGACAUUGCUUACACUGCGGCGCUCGAUGACCUCGGCCUCCACAGAUAAUGCAUUGCUGCAGCCCACGGCCCCACGACUGCGACCGUGGAUACUUCGGGGGCCUCCUGGAACUAGAUUGUGCCCCCGAACCACCGCCCGAUCGCUUCCUCCCCUUGUCUUGGGAUCCAGUCAACAACUCACGUUCCUCCCGUACGUGGGCAUCUCCAUACUCUGCCCACAGCGCUCUGUCGAAGACUUUAGCAAAGGUCGUGAGCUUGAACAGCUGCACUGCUCUAUAUAUCCAUGGCCGAUGUCCCCGCAGGAACCACUCGGCUUGAUCCGCGUCAUCUUUAACAACGUCUGGGACGCAAUCUAUAAUAUGGGAGAACUCCUGCUCGUAGUCUGCUACUGAACGAUCCCCCUGUCUCAAUUUGCAGAACUUUUCCUUCAACUUCCGCUUCUCGGUGUCGGGGAAGUAAUUUCCGAACAUUGCCCCCUUAAACUCCUCACAGAGCAUUGGUGGAAGGUCAGAGGGCCGAUCCCGCUUCAACCGCUUCCACCACACCUUCGCCGCCUUUUCGAGGCAAUGGGUGGCGAGGGGCACCUUAUCCUUCUCCAGGGUAUAUAAGUCCUCGAAGAGGGUCUCCAUAGAGUCAAUCCAAGACUCCACCAUCGACGGCUCCACUUUCCCCCCCUCAAAGGUUGGUGGUUUAAAUUUCAUGAAUUUCAUUAGAGCCGUCAGCGCACACUCUCGCUCUACUUCCUCGGCCGUCGUAUCAAGUGUCGCCGAACCAGAAGUUUUCGGAGGUGCACAUGUCGGCGGGGGAACUGCCGCCACCGGAACCGCCGCUAUGCCCUCACCCUCAGCCGCUUCAGGCGCGCGGGCUGAGGGUGCGGGUGGAUCACGGCUUCCAGUCGCUGUCGCGGCCGCCGCCGCCGCUGCCGCUCCACGAAUCCCUGGAGCUGCUCAAACCGAGCCUCCUGGCGCUGCAUCGCGCCCAACAAUGCAGCGACCUGCUCGCGCAGUUCCUGCACUUCCUCCGAUCUUGGCUGCUCGGGCACCGUAGUAGGCGGCACCGGAACAGACCUACGUACGUAACAUCUUGGGGACAUUUGCUCCUGAAAAGCAACAACUCGGUUAGUUAUCUUAAUCCGAUAACUUCUUAGCGUUCGCGAAAUUGAACGACUCGACAAUGAAAUCGGGCGGAAGUACGUAAGUGUUCUAGUGCUGGACCCUUAGCAUCGCGUCGUCGGCCGCCGACACAACCACUCCGAGCCAAGAAACUAGUGUCACUUGGAUCCGUCUCUAUUCACAGCUAGAGACAUAACAUCAACUCUGACCCAAUCGAUCAACUCCCGCCACCGUCAUGGGUUCGCGUUCACUCACGCCCCUACAAUCUUAGGGUUUACCAACCUAGGGUCUCCUAGGUCAUCCUAGACUCUCUCUUUACUUGCUCUUAACGCUCUGAUACCACUUUAUCUGUCACGCCCCGAGACCGCUACCAAUUCGGUCCGGUUCAAGCGCGUCAAACAGACGCCGAACGCACAGCACCUCCUCUGUCCGUCCAAGGCUAAGCAAACUGAUCAUGUAUAAGAAUUUACCCAGGAAUCAAUUCAUACAUACACGAUCACAAGGAGCACCACUAGUGCUAACAAAUAAGAGCAAGAUACAAGUAUGAGACAUACAAGUAAAUAAAGAGAGAAGGUUCUAUCUAUUACAUUCAUUCAAUCUCUUUAAUACAUCGAUUUACUUUCAAAAUAUGAACAUAAAUAUAACAUGCUUUUACAUCUUCCAAAAUAACCUCACACCUAUACAUCAUCUACUCUCAAAUACAAAGGGUGACGGCUAAUGCAAAAGGAAGUAAAGCUAGCUAUGUACAUAUACCACUAGGGCGCUAUGCCCUUGCCACGAUCCUCGCGCUCGCAGGGGGCACUCGAACUCGGACCUGUAGAGAGUGGGGUGAGGACUAUCUUCUAUAGUUCCCAGUGGGUUCGGCCGCCGACUCCGCCGGUCUCCCCACUAGGUUCAAGUGGGCACAAGUAGAUAAACAAAUAGAUAGAUAUGGAAAGCUGUGAAGACAGAAUAGUAAAGCUACACUACUAUGCCCGAAUCAUGUAUAUGAAUGCAUGCACAAUGAAAUAGAUAAUCAACUAGCUCGUCACAUGUCCAAGAAGUAAAGUUAUCUACCUGUCCAUUAAUCUCGUGGCGCACCCGAGGGUUCGCCUACAACUCACAUAGCCAUCUCGACGCAUAGGGAGACUAGACUCAAACUACAAUCCGAGACCGUUUGUGGGACCCCACAUAGGCCAUCCCUCAGGACCCCAAAUAGGCCAUCCCUAUCCCACGGGACCCCAAAUAGGCUAUCCAACGUGACCGACUCCGGAGCGCACUACUUGUGUGGAGCGACCAUCACAAGUUAGGAACAGACAGUGAGUAUGAUCCCAUCCUCUCAUCUCGAGCAUACCCUAUCCUCUAGGGUUACUAUCACCAUAAGUCAAUGGGUUUCAUAUACGCUACGACUCACAUAUGCCACUCGUUCUUUGUUUAUUAACAACUAGAUGCCACGCGUUCUUUUGCUUUCAACAAAUGAGUCAUUCUUUCAUCUCUGCACUAUAGGAUUUACAAGCCUCGACCCAAUCCUCAUCAAUCCACUAUAUCAAGCAACUAAUGCAUAAUAUGAUAUCAUCUAGGAAAGCAUAAGGAAAGGCAAUGCACAAUUAUCCUACAAUGCAAGUGAAUUCAAUAUGCAAGAUCUCAAAGUACUAAGACAUAAAGGGGAGUCCAGUUGCUUCGGAAUGAUCACCACCCACCUUUUGGUAGUGCCGCAAUAGUAGAAAACUCGACUUCGUAGUCCUUGGUUGACGCUUCGACUCCUCGGGUCGAUUCGAACCCCUAAGUGCUUGGUUCGGCGAUAUCUUCGCACCCACUCGUCGUAUCGACGAACCGUCUUCGCCGACGCGUUCCGAGACCUAGUAAUUAGGUUUACAACCCGGCGAAAUAGAUCAAGACCCCACGUUUUCAAAAAUCCCAAAACACGCCAUAGAAUGGCAACGAGGGAGAAAUCUAUGGUUCGAGCUUCAAAUCCGCUGCUAGAACCCUCUAUUUAUCUCCUCUAGGUUCCAUUCGAACAACCUCUAAGCAAUAAAACCCAAUCUCAAGAAAUCCACCAUGGAUGGGUUUGGGGCUUACCUCUAUACCAAGGUCCAAGCUUGCUCUAGCUUGUAGGAGAGGGAAGAAGAUGAUCUUCUUCUUCUUCUUGGUCUUCUCUUUCCUCUUUCUCUUCUUUUCCUUCUUUCCCUUCUUCUCCUUCUUUUCUUCUUUUCUUUUCGUUCUAGAGAGAGAGAGGGAGAGAGAGAGAGAGCAAAUGUGAUAAAUGGGAGAGAGAGAGAGAGAGGUCCCCCACCUCUCAUAUAGGCCAUUUUACAAAUAGGCCCCUCAACUUUCUAUCUAUUAAACAGCCGUCACUCGGCUGAUUUCACAGCGAGGGACCGGUCCCAAGUCGGGGAGACCGGUCCCCGAGAGCUUUUCAUCUCGGGCAGAGAGAGUUUCUCAUUCGGGAACCGGUCCCUGCUCGAGAGACUGGUCCCCAGGAGACCGGUCCUUGCCUGGGAGACGGGUUCCCGAGAGUUAGAUUUUCGGGACUUAGCCAAAUUUUGGCUAUUUCUCGCUGGGUUAAUGUUUGGGGAUCGGUCCUCCCCUGCUAGGGACCAGUUGCAUCAAGGAUCCCCGCAAGCCUAGCCUAAUGGGACCGGUCCGUCCCUGCCAGGGACCGGUCCUCGAGAGCAAUUCUGCUCCAGUGCAGAUUUUGCACUACUGCUCUCGCGGACUCUUCCUUAAUGCACUUUAUGCAUUAUAAUCACCUUCGGACUUUCCGGAGCUUACUCACUCGACAACUAAUCGAUUCUAGAUGAAGUCAAAUCCUCGGAUUUCGAGAAUUCACUUUCUUACAGAUAUGCUCCGAAACCUUCAAGACUUCAACUCAAUCUACGAAACUUGCCAACAUACAAGACUUAAUAAGUUUCGUCCCCAAAACUUGCCUGCAGGCAGGGAUGAUUCUGUACUUAACGAACCAGAACCAUACAUGCAUGCAAUGCAAAAAAGAUGCGUGAUAACGAAGCAUGCAAUUUACAACAACAACAACAUUAUACCCGUGACCACGUCAGCCGACUGAUCAUCCUCCUGACGUGUCAUCAUGUAGGCAUGUCCGUCAGUGGUCUGGUGUACCUUCUUUACCUGACGGGAUGUCGAGGGGCGUCCAGACGAAGGAUACGUUGUACUUCCAUGAUCCUGCCAUGGAGCUGCUGGAGUAGAUGCUGCUGCAGAUGCUGCUCCUACUCCACUGGUGCAAUCUGCCCGAAGGUGUCCACGUUGGCCACACAUGUAAUAGUGAUUGUGGCACUGUGGGCACUCGAUAACCUUGUGAGCCUCUCUGCAGAUAACACAAGGUCUGAUGCUCUGCUGCUGAGACGUAGCGGGGGCGCUGCUCGAUCCUUACUGCGCCUUGUGAUGCUUGGGUGGUCGUCUAUUGCCCGAUUGACCACCAGCAAAACUUUCCUGGGUACGCUUCCUACCCUCAGUCUUCACGGAUGCGUCCUGUUCGAUUCGAGCCUCGUCCAUAUCACUUUGCACCAUCAAGGCCCGAUCCAAGCUCUCGUCGAACGUCAACGCGCCAUGGGACGCGAUCAGAAGUCGAAUACCGGGCUUUAGCCCUCGCAAACAACCUUGCCUUGUGAUACUCAUCAUGAACCACGAAUAGAAUCAGUGAAAUAAUGCAAGAGAAGUCUCGUUCAUACUCUGCUACGGUAUGACUACCUUGCUUGAGACGCUCAAGCUCGCGCUCCAAGCUCUGCUUAGUGCUGUCCUUGAAGUACUGCUCGUAAAGGAGUUUACGGAACUCCUCCCAGCGUGGAUAGAUGCUCCCAAGUUUGCGCUCGAAGUGGCUGAUCCACCACGAAUACAAAUCCCCCUCAAGACAGUGAGCAGCUAGCGGUACGCGAUCCAACUCCUCGAUGUAUAGAUCAUGGAACAGUUUCUCCAUGUGGGUGGCCCAAUGCUCGAUCACCCAAGCGUCAUCAUUCUUUCCAGUGAACUUCGGCGGAUCGAAUUUUUGAAACUCUACCAGCCUUGCCCUGAUGUGAGUGCUCUCCACUGUAGGGGUAUCAGUACUCCUAGCGAAAACCGUCGUGGUGGCCGUCGGCGUCGUUGUAGUCACGGCUGGAGCUACGGUAGGCGCAUGCAUCGCGGGAGGAUCAACGAUCACCGGAGUGUCCUGUGCCGGAGGUGGAGCUGGGGUAGCAGUAGCUGCAGCCUGCUGCUGCAAGAACUGCUGAAACAAACCAGAGAGGGUCGUCAGCUGACCCCUCAAAUCAACUACCUGGGCCUCGAGCUGCUGAGUUCGAGUACCACUCAGCGGCUCCGUGCCCAACUGCUCCCUAUCACCCCCACUCAAAGGAGCACGGGUACUGCCGGAGGUUUUCGCACCAGCACGUCCACCACCACGACCCAGAAGAGGGGGUCUACCACGAGCCAUCUGCGACAGAAAACACCGUCAAGUGAACCAAUCGACUCGACAUACACACACACCGAGACUCAAGCCCAAUACAACGCACUCACAUGCUUAUAUGCCUUAGGUCUUCCUAUGGGUCAACCUAACCAGUGGUUCAGUUAGAAAUUUGUAAAUGCAGUUGUAGUUGUUUCACGCUCUGAUACCAUCUUAAUCUGUCACGCCCCGGGGCCCAUUUUAAAAGCUUUUUUAAAAUCCAUUACCAUUUUAGAAUUCAGAGUCGUGGAAGAUGUGCCACUUUUAUUUUAUUUUUUUCAACCUGGUCCAUGUGACGUACAGACCCGCCACAAAUACGAAGUUCCUCUGUCCACUCGGACAGAGUCUCCUUUGUAUUUGCACGGCGUACCAACUGUACAACAGGAUCUCAACCACAACCUACAUUUAUCAAUCAACAACUAAUUCAUGAUAUGCAUUUUCAUACAACUAUCGAUCCUUAGAGAUGAUGCAUGCCUCUAAGCACUCCUUAGGCGCUGGAUGAUGCAAUGCACAAUACAACAAUCAUCCUAUUUAAAAGUGCUCUCUGUCCGGAAAUAUUAUUUUUAAAAUCUAAUUCAAUUAUUUACAAAACCAAUUCAAAAAUCUUUUUAAAACUGUUUUUCACAUGGAAACUCUAUUUUGAAAACCAGCUACCUCGAGGGGUAGAAAACCACAAGUAUAAAUAUAACAGCCGAAAAUCCAUAAAACCAGAACCACAGAUCCACGAUUAUCCGUUCACAUCAUGAAUAACGAAAAUAUCCACAAAACCAAUCCACGAACAGACAAACAAUCAUAGAGAUUAUCUAACUGAACCAUUUAUUAAUAAAGACUACUAAAUGCAUAAAUAAGAAUAACCCGGGUGAUGGUCGCUAUUGCCGACUAGCUAGAACAUCCUCUCGUCGCGCCCAACACCAACUCCAAGCUCGAAUCACCUGGGAAAUGGGGGGUGAGAAACCGCAACCAUGGUUUUCCAGUGGGUACGACAGAGCCACGAAGGCAAGCCGUAAUCACCGAAAACCAAAGGAGAUAGAUAAACAAGAUAUAUAUAUACUGUGAUGCGAAAAGGAAACUACAAUUGCUAUAACAUGUAUAUAAGAAGCAAGAACUAAAACUGCUACUAUAUAGAAUCAAUGCAAGUAUGCCUCAAUGUAAUAAACUAGAAACUGUAGCCAAUCUGUGCCUGCUAUAUUCGUGCGCAGACUCAAGCGCUGCCUGUCACUAUCUGCACUGAGCUGAUCCAUACGCCCCACAGGACGACCCAUCCGGAUAAGUACACCUCCGAUCGGUGGCCAAACCGAUCCGGUGUCAUGAAUACCCACAAGUGCUCUGACUAAGUCAUGCCAGUAUGCUCAAACAAAAAUCAACUAAAGCCGGUGCCUAGGCCGAAGCCAGAAACAAGGGCGUACAACGCCGAGCCACGAUAGAUAUAAGGGCGUACAAUGCCGAGCCACGAUCAACCAGAUCGAAACACAUGACAAGAGAGUCGAUGUGUUGCCUGGACCCAAGGUCCACAGAGAUGCAAAGUACAAAUGCAAGCCUGCUCUACAUAUCUAUCCAUAUCUAUCCAAAUGCAAUCAACGAGAUAAGAUAACUGAACGAUAAACAAACAACGACAUGUAGAGUCUAUAAUGCUGGAAUAGAAAAACAGAAGGAGGUGAAACGCUCUCACCGACUACCAGCUCGAAGCACCCACUUGUCAUAAAAGCGUCGAAAACCUGGGUGCGCACAAUCAGCAACCGGACCUACGAAGAUCCACUAGGUCAGUAUUCAACACACUAACCAGAAGUACACUGUCGCACAAACCCCCACACAAGUCCUCGAAUCGGUUUCCCAAAAUCGAUCACCGCAACUCACCGGAAGUCUCGAAAACCACGUCGGGACGCCGUCGGGACCUACUAAGUGUCCUGAAACUCACCGACUCGUGUCAUGAGUCACCCGCUGCCACAAAACACUCCUGUUUGGAUGUCUUGGGAGCAAACACAAGAUAACACCACUAUACAAUUAUCGCCGGAUAAUUGUAGAAUACGGGUUCCCGGAAGCGUCUAUUUUGACACCGGAACCCACCGUCGCUCACCCAUCAUCACCGAACCCACAAAAUGAUGAUGGUGACCAGCCAACAAGACUCAGCGACAAUUCACAGGAUAAACAAAUCAUGUCGGAAGAAAUCAGAACUGAAACCGCGUUCUUUCGGCGAAUUUCGCCGAAAACGCACCGAAAUUGACUCCUCGAUUUCCGCAAAAGCUAACGGAUCAUGGACAAUUAGUCCAGAGGUCACUACACACAUAUACACACUGCCCACAGUAGCCACAAGGUGCACAAUUGCACAAAAGCCCCUGUAUUUACGUAAAAUCCUAAUAUUUUAUGUAAAUCGGGUGAUAAAAUGGCUCGUUCACGCAAACCGAGGACUCCCAAGGACCGCCGAGACACGCACUGACAGGUCUCGAUGUGCCGGAGGCCAAGCUCAAGGUCCGGAGCACAACGGCUCACUGUGGAAAGCGCGGGAGCAACUCGAAGGUUCUACAAACAGCGCGCAGUCGGGGAAAAUCGUGCCGAACAGGCCGAUUCGAUAUUCGCUGAUCCAAAGUAAGGUGAGCACUGUGAUCAGGUCUGACCAACGAUCACCGUUCUCACCUCCGGAGGUAUCGGAACAGCCUUAGAUCGCCGGAACAGUGCGCGCAAACCCAUAACAACAGCCAAACAGGCUCUACAGGGUCGACACCGUCGAAACAGCGAAACGGAGCCUUCCCGAUGGAAACUAAGGUGAGCACGAUGAUCAGAAAUUUGCCACGAUCAUCGUGCUCCCUUCCGCAAAGAUCGGGAGGCCUCAAAAGGCUCAGAACAAGAAACUGCCAAAGAAAAGCCCUAAAUCGGGCUUGGCCGGAGCAAGCUUGCUCCGGCCGGCCUCCGGCGGCACGGAAAGGUGCGCGCGGGCCAGGGAUGGGUGCGGGCGAGUGGAGGAGCAAGGUGCCCACCUCAUUUGGCAGCGAGGAGCGGCGGCGGCGACGGCGGAACCAACCAAGCCCGUACCAGAUCCGCUCGGGUUCUAAGGGCUGCUGCGGCCACGGCGACGGCCGGGGCACCUCGGGGCAGCGCCGGGGAAGGUGCAGGGAGGCAAAGCAGCCUCGGCCAAGGCUCCAACCCGAGAAGAGGAGAGGGGUGGAGAGAGAUGGAGAGAGAGAGAUGAAGAGGAAGGCUGCGACUGCUGCUGGCCGGCCGGGGCUGGGUCGGCAGCGGCGGCGCAGCAAGGGCAGGGUAACCAAGGGAGGCGGCUGGGGGUUUAGCUCGGACUAGGGUUAGGGUUUUCUUAGUGCAAACCCUAAAACAAGCAAAUAUACAAGGUGCAAUAUGCGAGUUAGCCCACGAAACCUCAGUAUUUAGUACUGAGUCCCUCACAGCGCAUGUACAAUGCGCGAAUACCCCUCCACGUGCGAUCUCACACAAAACGGUACAUAAAAUGUCACGACUUUUGUGAAAUUACCGUUUUGGUAACACCGACCUCUCCACGAUCAACGCGCGAUUUCUGCAGAUCCGUCUUUCAAAUUUGCGAAUGGAUUGCACCAUUGCGAUCAGCACGACGAAGACGACAAAGCUACAAUUUUGGUUCGCGUCGAUCGAUCACGGAUUUGCGACGAAAUCCGUUUCCUCUCCGAAAGGCCAAAAUGACGCUCAAAUACAUAAGAAACAUGUAUUUUCAGAUUUUCUCGAAAUCCGUGAGUCAAACCCAAAAUCCGUCAGUGCCAUUAGUUCCAGAAUGGCUGAAUCGUUCAAAACAAGCUAUUGGAUCGCUGUGAACCGAGUCCGAUACGAGCCUGAAGCCAACUUCACACUAUGGCUUCUCCGGAAAAUCGAGUUACUAUUCACCUUAAGUGAAACUUGGAGAUCACGUAAAAUCUCCGUUUUAGCUCGAUUUCUCCCGAAACUUGACGAGUGCUUUUGUAAUUAAAUUACACACAAAAACAUCGUCAACUGAGAGUUUAGAUACACUGCCAAAAUCUCGGUCCUUACAAUAGGAGCCGAUGAACCCGAUACCGUCGGAGAAAUAGCCGUCACCGGUGCUGCCGUCACCGCAGGAGGUGGUACUACAGGAGCAAUAGGUGCGGGCGGAUCCCUCAGCACAUAUGCCGCCGCCGCCGCCUGUCGCGCCACCAACUCAUGGAGCUGUCCAAUUUGCUCCCCCUGUUGCCGCAUAGCCCCGGCCAAUGCCGCUACUUGGGCUCGCAGCUCGCGCACUUCAUCUGAUCCCGAUUGCUUAGGCACCUCAUCUGGCAAUGCCAGAGUGGAUCUACGCGUGUAGUGCCUCAGGGACAUUUGUUCCUGAAACGUAUCACACGCAUUAGUACUCGACACAUGUGACUCUUACACGUUCCAAUCAACUACCCAAUUAAGCGAAAGCAAUCAAGUGUAAUUAUUUCCAACCCUUGGCAUCAUGUGGUCGGCCGCCCCACACAAACCCCUUAAGUAGAAAACAAAUAAACACUUGAAUCCAUCUCUAAUUCCUUUUAGAGAAGUACCAACAUAAACCCAAUCAAUUAGCUUCCGCUAUUACCAAGUCCACGUUAAACAUUUCCUAAGUCCCUAAGGUCUCCAAUCCUAGGGUUCCUAAGUCCAUCCUAGACCUUUACUUUCAUCCAAUCGCUCUGAUACCAUUAUAUCUGUCACGCCCCAAUCCCCGCCAAUUUGGUCGGGUUCGGGUCACGUUAACAGACGCCGAACGAACAGCAUCUCUCCUGUCCACCCAAGGCUCUAACAACGAGUACAAUUAAGCAAUCAACCAAAGAAAUUUGCAAUUAUACAAGGCUUGCACGAGGGCAAGCAACAACGGAAGCGAAAGCUCUAAGCUAAAUAUACAACCAUGCACAAUAUUUGAUUACAUUUAAACCAAAUACUUGUAACUAAAACUAUUACAUACAAUUUGCUUCCAUUCAAAGUUCUUUACAUCUUAAUCAUUCGACAAAAAAUACAUGAUUGUUGUCAACUUAAAUAGCUAUAGAUCAACAAAAUAAAAGUUGAUAUAUGUACACAAAGGAAUGACUAAAUGCAAUACUUCGGUGGCCACUAGCUAUGGCGCAAUACCCUUGCCUCGGUUCUCCGCCGGCCUGCUCGCGCUCGGACCUGUAGGGUUAGUUGUGUGAGAACUACAAUGAAGUUCUCAGUGGGUUCGGCAACCGACCUCGCCGACUUACCCACUAGGUCUAUUCAGGCAUAAGUAUUUCAAAGGAAAGAAAAACUAGUACUGUAACCAAUGCUAAUGCUAAUACUAUGCCUGCAAGAAAGAUGUCAGUGGAUAUAUAAUCAAAAUAGAAUGCUCAUGCAUACAUGCUUGUUGUGAGGAAGUGAAUUCUCGAAAUCCGAGAGAGCAAAUAGAAUGUACUUCAUCCAGGAUCGACUAACUGUCGAGAGAAUACCCUUUGGGGAAGUUAAAAAUGUCCAAAACACAAAAAGUGCUUUGGAGUUGAGUCUGUGAGAGCAAAUAAAAAAAAAAAAUCUGGACUUGGCAGAUUUUGCUCUCGGGGACCGGUCCCUGAAGGGGAGGACUGGUCCCCAUAGCUACAGUCGCGGGGUUGCCUAAUGCAACCGGUCCCUAGGCUGAGGGGACUUGUCCCUGUGUGCGACGCUAGCGUGAAAUGCCGAAAUUUGGCUAAGUCCUGAAAGUUCCCCUUUCGGGAAUCGGUCUCUCAGGAAGGACCGGUCUCCCAGGGAUCGGUCCCUCGGGUGAGGACCGGUUCUCGUACGCAAAAAGUCCCCAGGCCGCACGGAGGGCUUUCGGGGACCGAUCUCCCUUACCAGGGACCGGUCCCUCUAGGCGAAAACUGCCCAGUGAGGGCUGUGCAAUAGAUGGAAAAUGGAGGGGUUUAAGUGCAAAGUGGCCAUUAUGUGAGGGGUGUAUAUGGGAAAUAACCCUCUCCCUCAGCCCUCUCCCUCAGCCCUCUCCCAUCUCAUUCCCUCUCUAUCUCUCUUUCUUAUUGCUCUGUCUCUCUCUACAAGGAAAAGAUGAGAAGAAGAAAAAGAGAAGAAGAAGAAGGAAAGGAAGGAGAAGAAGAAGAAAAGGAAGGAGAAGAAGAAGGAGAUCAAAGGAAAGGCCUUGAGCAUCUCCACCUCCAUCUCCUCUUCUCCUUGGAGCUAGCACAAGAGGUAAGCCCUAACCCUAGCUUUUGGAAACUUAGGGUUUUUGGGUUUUGAUGCUUUGGAAUGGGUCAAAUGGACCCUACGCAUGCUUCUAAAUAGAUCAAUCCCAACAAUCUAGGGAUUUAUUGGGUGGUUUGCUAUAGGUGCAAACCUAGGGCACCCAAAAUGGGAUUUUUGGUAAAGUAUGAGAUUGAUCUCAUUUGAAGCCUUGGAAAUCUAAUUGCUAGGUCACAAAACACGGGGGCGAAGUCGGAUUUAGCAUUCGGCGAGCCGGCGUGAAGUUAUCGGCAAAACGAGGCCGAUCUAGCGUUGUCUUGGACAAGGAAGGCUAAAGCCUUUUCGUAAAGCUCGCCGAGAAGAAUUUCUAAAGCCUUCACAUUGAUAAAAGGUGGGGGGUGUCAUCCGAAACUUUCGAACUCCUUUCUAUGUCUUAGAUUGCAUUUAAUCUCAUCUCUUACAGGUUGCUUUGUAGGAUUGCAUAGUAGCUCCAUUCCUUAUGCUUUCUAAUUGAUAACCUAGUGUACUUGGAACGCUUGGUAACUUAGAUAGGUGAGGAUUGGGUCGGAACGUGGAUCCUAUGAUGCGAAAGAAAGAGGUGAACCCGAUGGGGGUAUUGAUGACAUAAAAAGUAGUGUUUAAUGUAAAAGAACACACGAGUGGCAUCCAAAUGUUAAAUAAUAACGAGUGGCAUUAAUGUAGUGUAAAUGACACUAGAGGUUUGAGAACCUAGGGAUAGGUGGAUCCCUUAGAAAAUGCCUUGUGGAUAANNNNNNNNNNNNNNNNNNNNNNNNNNNNNNNNNNNNNNNNNNNNNNNNNNNNNNNNNNNNNNNNNNNNNNNNNNNNNNNNNNNNNNNNNNNNNNNNNNNNNNNNNNNNNNNNNNNNNNNNNNNNNNNNNNNNNNNNNNNNNNNNNNNNNNNNNNNNNNNNNNNNNNNNNNNNNNNNNNNNNNNNNNNNNNNNNNNNNNNNNNNNNNNNNNNNNNNNNNNNNNNNNNNNNNNNNNNNNNNNNNNNNNNNNNNNNNNNNNNNNNNNNNNNNNNNNNNNNNNNNNNNNNNNNNNNNNNNNNNNNNNNNNNNNNNNNNNNNNNNNNNNNNNNNNNNNNNNNNNNNNNNNNNNNNNNNNNNNNNNNNNNNNNNNNNNNNNNNNNNNNNNNNNNNNNNNNNNNNNNNNNNNNNNNNNNNNNNNNNNNNNNNNNNNNNNNNNNNNNNNNNNNNNNNNNNNNNNNNNNNNNNNNNNNNNNNNNNNNNNNNNNNNNNNNNNNNNNNNNNNNNNNNNNNNNNNNNNNNNNNNNNNNNNNNNNNNNNNNNNNNNNNNNNNNNNNNNNNNNNNNNNNNNNNNNNNNNNNNNNNNNNNNNNNNNNNNNNNNNNNNNNNNNNNNNNNNNNNNNNNNNNNNNNNNNNNNNNNNNNNNNNNNNNNNNNNNNNNNNNNNNNNNNNNNNNNNNNNNNNNNNNNNNNNNNNNNNNNNNNNNNNNNNNNNNNNNNNNNNNNNNNNNNNNNNNNNNNNNNNNNNNNNNNNNNNNNNNNNNNNNNNNNNNNNNNNNNNNNNNNNNNNNNNNNNNNNNNNNNNNNNNNNNNNNNNNNNNNNNNNNNNNNNNNNNNNNNNNNNNNNNNNNNNNNNNNNNNNNNNNNNNNNNNNNNNNNNNNNNNNNNNNNNNNNNNNNNNNNNNNNNNNNNNNNNNNNNNNNNNNNNNNNNNNNNNNNNNNNNNNNNNNNNNNNNNNNNNNNNNNNNNNNNNNNNNNNNNNNNNNNNNNNNNNNNNNNNNNNNNNNNNNNNNNNNNNNNNNNNNNNNNNNNNNNNNNNNNNNNNNNNNNNNNNNNNNNNNNNNNNNNNNNNNNNNNNNNNNNNNNNNNNNNNNNNNNNNNNNNNNNNNNNNNNNNNNNNNNNNNNNNNNNNNNNNNNNNNNNNNNNNNNNNNNNNNNNNNNNNNNNNNNNNNNNNNNNNNNNNNNNNNNNNNNNNNNNNNNNNNNNNNNNNNNNNNNNNNNNNNNNNNNNNNNNNNNNNNNNNNNNNNNNNNNNNNNNNNNNNNNNNNNNNNNNNNNNNNNNNNNNNNNNNNNNNNNNNNNGGGGGUUGUAUCCCAGAGAACAAAAAAAAAAAGAAGCCAAAAAUAUCAAAAAAAAAAAAACCCGGCGGCACGCCGGUACGUGCCGGCGGCACGCCGGUACGUGCCGGCGGCACGCCGGUACGUGCCGCUUUGUCUCCAGCGGCACGCACCAGCGUGCCGCCGGCACGCGGGGGGGUGCGAUACCCCCCCUGUACCAUGCCCCCUUCUUGGGGGCACGGGGCGUGCCGUACGGCACGCCCCGUCACUUAAAACCUUGUUGUGGACCCUAGUAGUAGUGCUCCCUCACUUAGAGAGGAAUUCGAUUGGGAUAUUGACUCUAGAUAUAGAGCAUCCUCACUUGGAGAGGGUGUGAUUGGGUUGUUGACUCUAGUUGUAGGGUGUCCUCACUUGGAGAGGAUAGAUCUAGCUCACAGUCUGCGUUUAGGGUGGUAUAGCCAUCCUAUCCCCACAUGGAGGGGAUUUUCGUCGAGUACUCCGGAGUGUCGCGCGACUAGGAUCACUUGGAGGUCCGGACCACAUGGAGGUCCGCAGACGGUCCCGGGCUAGGGUGCACUUGGAGCUCCCUCCCCACUUUGGGAUUGAAAGGUGAGUUAUGGGCGAGCCCAAGGGCCUCGCCACAGAUUGGGUAAAUGAAAAGUUAAAGGUUUAAAAUGUCAUUGAACAUUAUUAUUCGAACAUGGAUCGAAUUUGUUAGCAUGGUAGCAAACCUUUAUUAUAUGAUGCAUGCAUUCAUAUUCAUGAUUAUGGGCAUAAUAGCAUAGUUUUCCUACUAUCGCAUUUACAGUUUUUAGAUACAUAUCUAUCUAUCUAUCUGUUGUUGCUUGUGCCCACUUGGACUUAGUGGGGAGGUCGGCAGAGUCGGCGGUCGAGCCCACUGGAAACUAUGGAAGAUAGUUCUCACCCCACUCUAUUUCCAGUGGUAGGUACAGGACUGCCGAGAGAGGACCGCGGCAAGGGCAUCGCGCCCGAUCAGUGAGACCGUGGUAGUAUAGUAGCUUUCCUUUUUGCAUUAGCACACCUAUGUAUUGAGAGAGAUUCAUUGUAGGUGAGGAUUUGGAGAGCUAUGUAUUUUGAGAUGAAAAAUGUAUUCAUUUAAAGAAAAAUGAUGAAACUAUUGUAAUAGUUAGUAAAAUACUAUCUUUAUUUUCACAUGCUAUAAAUUGAGGAUUACUUGCUCUUGGUAUUGUCGGCACUAUUCGUGCCCCGUUCAAUGUGUAUGUUUAGAAUUUAAUUUCCUGGGUAAAUUCUUUUACACAUUCCUGUUAUUUAGCCUUGGGCGGGAAUGGGAGGUGCUGUCCGUUCGGCGGUCCGCCGCCGCGCCCGAAUCGUGCCAAAUUGGUAGUGGUUUCGGGGCGGGGCAUGACACUUGUUCCAUAACUUUACUUUGGCUUUUACCUAAUUGUCACGCCCCGGGACCGAUACCAAUUUGGGCCGGCCCGAGCACGUCAAACAGACGCCGAACGGACAGAGUUUCCCCUAUCGGCCCUCAUCACCUGUACAUUUUCAAGUAGAGAAAAGCACUAGCGGAAACAUACACAAACGGCUUACACGAGAGUAAGCAAUAGCCAUGAGUGAAAGAAAGGAAACUGAACAUCUACACAAGUACUAUGUGUAACAUACCAGAUUUUGGUAUAAAAAUAAAAAUAAAUAAAAAUAGUGUGGAAAACUAUUUUUAUUGGAUUUAUAGAAGUAAAACAUAAGUCAGAAGUGACUUGUGCUGAAAUCGGAAUUAAAACAGAAGAUUUAGAAUUUUCUGUUGGAAACGGGGCAGAUAAAUUAGCAGAAAAUGCACAGUCUCAGAAAAUUAUGAAAAUUGGCAGAGAUGUCAGAAAUAUUUUUAUGAGGCCGGAUUUAAAGUUUCAUAUUUUUCUGACACCCGUAGAGUGAGAAAUAAAAUCCAACAGUUAUCUGAUAAAGAUUACAGUUCAGUACAGUUUUCAGUGACCAAACGGGGUCGAAACUGAAAAAUUAAAAUAUAUUCUUACUCAGUACAUAAAACCGAACAUGACUGUCAAGUUUGAGCUCAAACGGACACUCAGGGAGUUCCGGCGAAAGUUAUCAGAUUUCAAGCUGCCCGGGAUGAAUAGUGUAAUUGUUGAGGGGUUAAAUUGUAAAAUGGGCUUAAGCCUUCUUCUCCCUCAACCGUGGCUGCCCCAAACCCGCACACACAACACACGCACACACGCAUGGAAGGGAGAGAGAAAACCCUCUCUUUCUCUCUCUAAAUCUCUCCCAAAAAGAGUGGAUUUGGUGGAGAUCGAAGCUUGGAGGUGGAUCGCCUUCGUCUUCUUCAUCUUUUCCAUGAUUUGGAGCUCAUUUUGAGGUGAGCUUCUUGAGUCCUUUAAUGGCAUUUCUCUCUAGUUUGGUUUUUAAGCUCUAAGAAUGGGUUUAGAGGUAUUCUAGCAUACUAAUUAGAGGUUUGAUGCUUGAAACCAAAGCUCUAAUGGUGGAUUUUUACCCAGUGAAACCUAGAGCUCCAAAAUGAGGGCUUUAAUGGUAGAUCUUUAAUGCUUGGUUUAAAUACCUUAUAAAUGGAUUUAGAAGAGUCCUAGCAUACUAUCUAGAUGAUUAAUGCUUGAAUCAUGGAUCAAUCUAGUGAUUUCUUGCAUAGUUGUAACCUAGGGCUCCAAAAUGCAAACUUUCAAAAUAUGAGGGUUUGAUCUCAUUUGACCCUUCGUAAACCUAAUUGCUAGGUAUNAGAAAUUAUUGAAACAUUGCCGAGCAGCCUAACGGCUUGGCAGAAGCGGUUGCGCAAGCAAAUGGAUCGUUAAACCAAAUGCCUCCCAGUUUACUCUAGUUUGGGAGUAUAAAACUUUCAAACGUAAAAAAUGGACGUUUAGGCUUCGGGUCCGCAGGGAGGACCGAGGCGAUAUCGUAAAUUCAUGAAAACGGAUUUGAAGCAUCGUGGCACAUAACCGAAGACAUUUAAUUUUCGGAUCGUGAAUUGGAGGCCGUUCGGGUGGUCGCGUGAGAGAUCGGGCCAAACCGGGUGCCGGGUGCCGCGGGCGGCCGAUUGCAAGUGUCGACAAGCAAUCGGAAUGCGAAAUAAGGUGGGUUGUGUUUACCGAAGCGACUAGGUUGCCCUUUAUGUCUAAGAAAUGAGAUUUCAUAUUGAUGCAUAUUGACAUAAUAUAAGAAUGUGAAUAGAAUGCAUGUUAACAUACUAUAGAAAUGCUAAAUGUAAUGCAUAAUGAAUUAAGUGCUAAAAGAAUGCAUGAGAUGCUAAGUAUGGACUAUUUUGGAUAAUGACUAUAUGUAUGUUGACAAAUCAUGUGAUGCUAGUGGUAUAUGUGCAUGAUGAUAUAUUAUGAAUUUACAUAUUGUGGAUUAUGUUAAAUAGAAAAACAUACUUGAUGACAUAUUGCCAUGUUGUGGAACAUAGUGGACAAUCUAUAUAUAUAUUAGAUCGAGUGGCAUUAAACCUAGCAUCUUGAACCUAACAAACACUUGUGGUGAUUGAUCAUAUAUAUCCUGGUGUCAUUCAUGUAUGUUAGGACCCUAUUAUUGUGUAAAUGUGAGAGUUGGACUUGAACAUUAGUAAACAAGGGUGACAAUGACAAUAGAGACAUGAUUGUCAUCAAGAAAGUGAUUGUUAAACAUAGUUUAACCAAGAGUGGCAUUGGACCAUAUAUAGAGAGUGGCAUGAUUAAAUAGGUAGAAACCUAUUGUGACAUUGGCAUUGUGACUAGUGGCUAUGAAUCCUCAAGUUGAGGAUUGAUCGAUACUCACGAUAAGUCUUGGCUUGAGGGAGGUAGCUCCCCCUCGGGCGGUGCGCUCCGGAGUUGGUCACCACUAGGCGUGGUAAAGUCCCCCCAGAAGACGGUCCCUAGGGAGGUUCGAGUCCCCCGCUAUUAAGGGAUUUUGGGUUGUGAGUUAUUGGGGUUAACAUGGUUAACCGGUAAGAUUGGGUCAAAGCCAAGUGAAUGUACAGCAUUAUGUGUUACGGGUUUGGUAUCCCAGUUAAGAGGAUUUAGGGCUGAGGUGUAUGUGAGACGUCCAUCACCUUGAGCCUAGUUUUGGUGCGGUAUUCCGCAGUUGAUUGACUCGAGACCGAAUCGGGUGGUUAGCUUGGCUAGGGUAGAGGAAAACCUUAGGAGCAAAUAACCAAUGAUGUAAAGUGAUAAGAUGUAUAAAUUAUGAAAAAGCUAUGGAUAGCAUGAUACAAAGUAAAAUCAUUUAUUCUACUUGUAUAGUUGCAUGAUUCGCAUAUAGCAUGGCAUUAUUGCAUUCGUGAGGCAUAGCAUGGUUUUAUUAGUUGCAUAAUAAAGAUAUAUAUCUAUCUGUUUAUUGAACUAACUUGCAGUUGCCUCCCUUGGACCUAUUGGUCGAGCUUUUCCCUUGGGUGGCCGUACCCACUGGGAACCAUGGAGUUGGUUCUCACCCCACGUGGUUUUGGGGUGUUACAGGUUCGCACAUGAGCGGCGCGGCGGCGCGAGGCGAGGGCGUAGUUCCAUAGUUAGCGCCCUACCACCGAGACCAGAGAUAGCGGUACCCUGAGUCGGCCUUACUUAGGGAUGUAAGAAAAUGAAAAGGAUCAAGUUGUAAUAAUAUUGUUAAAGCUAGAUUGUAUUUGGAAGCUAAAAAGAAUGUAUUAUGUAAUUGUGAUGUAAAAUGAAUCUAAUGUGAAUGAAUGUAAUAAUAUAGGAUGUGUUUAUGUUGUUUGAUACCUUCCAUUAUGCAAUUUUGAUUGAAAUGUGUUCAUGGUUGGAACUUUGUACAUUGUAUUGAUUGCUAUGCCUUGAACGUACAGGGGAGACUUUGUCCGCAGUACAGGGGAAACUCUGUCCGUUCGGCGAUCUAUCGGCGGCGCCGCGACCCGGCCAAAUAUCCUACUCUUGGUUGAGGUACCAAGGGUCACCCACGCCGGUGGGUUCCUUUUUCGAGUUGGUUAUCCAGAUUCCUCCGUGAUGUUGUACAAUCAGGUUGUCUAUAUAUUUACUUAUUCCUUUUUGUACGAUACGGAGUGCUAUACGCUAUACUUUAAGUACGUUGAUACGUUCAUCUAAUGACUAAAAUGAGAGAUAAUAAAUGGUAAGAAAUCGUAAUCGGAAAGAAAUAAGAAUCGAUAAGAAUGAACAUCGGCAAGAAAUGAAAUAAUCGAACAGUGUAAUUCGAGUAACCGCUAAGAAAGGAUUCCAAUGGAAAUGGAAUCGGUAGAUACGGUGAGCGGAGCAAGAACUCAGUUAGGUGACGCCUAUUAGGCGCGAGACAGCCGAACUCCACUUCCUUGAGAGUGUACGUGGAGUCGGAUGGUGUUGGACGGCGUGAAAUACUGACUCGGUCGGCCGCCGCUUUAGCAGCGUGUAUGCGGUGCUGUUACCGAGUUCAGUUCGCCACCAUAUUAGGUGUUUGAUCGUAUUGUUAGGCCGCCGCUUUAGCAGCGUGUGCGGUGCAGUUACCAAUCGGGGCCUGCCGCUUUAGCAGCGUGUGCGGGUUGUGGUGAAACCCAUAAGGUAUUCGAGUCCCUAAGGCCUUAGGUAAAGGUGUAUUGAGCUCCCAACCAGAAUUGGGAUACCAUAGCUGGAUGAGUCCAGGUAAUAGGAGAGGUAAGAUCCAAGUAAACUGAGAUCCAAAUUGUGAAAAUAGUGUAUUGGAUCCAAUCAAAUUGAGAUCCAAAUAGAGUAUUGGAUAUAAGAAAUUGUGAUCCAAGUAUAAGUAAGAAUAGGUAGGAUCCAGGUACUGCGAUCCAAGUAUGAGUUGGAUACAAGUUAUUGUGGUGUGAACAAGUUAGAUACAAGAAAUUGUGAUCCAAAUGUACGGUGUGAACAAGUUGGAUACAAGAAAUUGUGAUUCAAAUGUACGGUGUGAACAAGUUGGAUAUAAGAAAUUGUGAUCCCCGCACAAACCAAGCGAAGAAAAAGUGAUACCUUAACCUUAUCCUUACCCACUUAAGCAAACACCCACAAACCAUGCGCCCUCAGAAUAAGGCUAAGACUAAGGGCUCACCUUACCUUUAGGGGGUUAGUGGGGAAAAAAGUUAGGCCGGAGGAUCCGGCCUAACCUUCAACUUACAUCAUAUGACUUAAAUACAUGUAACGCUUCAAGCUCAUUCCCCUUACUACAAACCUUGGAAGGGUGUACAAUAUUUCCCAAAUUUCUAUAAAUACUUAUUCAAAUUCUCAUUUGCCUUACACCCUUCACUCUUUCACGAAACGUUAGAGCUUUAAACCGGUAAGACGUAACCACAUGGCCAUGUCCGGAGUACGACAUGGCUAUGUCGUUCGUCGUCUCAAUCGACGACGCCCUGUCGUCCCGGUAAAACCAGAAAAAAUGAAGGACAAGAAUAGAGGUGACUGGCUCGAGCUGGAAACUUGAAUAGACUUCCUACGACUCCGAAUCUCCUUCCCAAACCAGAAGGAGGAUGAAAGAGAAAGAUUCCCAAAAAGAGAGAGAUUCUACUUUAUUCCGGAAAUCGAAUAAAGGAGAGAGAAAAACUACAGUCGAUUGGUUCCUCUGAACUACCUUGGACAAACGACUCUUUUCUCUAUAGACCCCAAUUCAAUAAAUGUUAAGAUUAGAUCCUUGUGGAUUCAACCUCGAAACCUUCCAUACAUAAACUGAAGAGAUAUCAAAUUUCAAAUCCAUCACUUAAAGCCGAACAACAUCGUCGGCCAAACCUCUCGUACCAAAUUGUCGACACCUCUAGUCUCAACACUACAAAGUAGUCAAUUCUUAGCCUCUUUUGACGACUUCCUUUCAAAUCUUUUCCAUUAAUUACCUAAUUAAUGAGAAAGUAAUGCUAAUAUGGUUCAAAUAACAACUUAUAAUCCGACUAAACCGCUAUCAAGCGUCGCUCGAACGCUGACUAGUAGCCUACCAAAGCGCUAUCUAUAAACUCUCAAAGAUUCUCAAUUUAGAACAUAAACUAGGACUCGAUUUGUCCCCAGGUUCGGCAUCGGAAUAUAUUCCACUCUUAAAACGACUUAUCUUCCAUGAACUACGACAAAAUCACGUCUAAAGAUGCGAGUAAGCGUCGUCCAAGUGACGUCCUUUAGCCUGUGAAACUUGUAAUUAGGCGUCGGGAGUUCUUUAAUCUACACCACGUGAGAUUGGACUAGAAUCACCCCAAGUUCAAAGCUAAUGUAUAAUCCAUAUAACCUUUGGAUUAAAUACUACAAAUAAAUCCUAUGAACUUCUUAUAACUUAACUCAAGAAACGACUAAAAUUAUACAAACAAUCCCGUUCACACCUGGUCGCUCCUGGGAGCUAUGCACUUGUUCAACGGCAAAUCAUUCACCCAAACUGAAGUGGUCUCGUUCACUUGGAGGGAUACAAGAUAUACUAUGAUAUCUUAAUGAAUGUACACGUUUAUGUACUUGUUCAUGAGUUAUAGCUCAUUACUUACGAUAUUUGUAUAACUAGAAGAACUUAACUUACCUUGGAGCUAAUUCAUUCUUCUUCUUAGUACUCUUUCCUUAAUAACACUCAGAGUUACGUACCUGUAAUAUACGAAACAAUGCGGAAAUACUUUAUCUCUUGUUCUCCAAUCUAUGUUACCAUAACUGUUCGAGUUCCGAUUACUGUAUAUACAUGUUAAUGUAACGAAAGUACAUGUGGAACUUAGAUCAUCAAUGAUCAUACAAUGAAAUACUGACUUAGGGCUGGAUUUCCCGCCCUCAACUUGGAAUGUACAAGUCUGUACGAUAAACUCUUGACAACCCAAUACUUAAUACGAACGAACGGUAACACGAGUAAGCGUGUUCGAACACUCCCAGCGAGGGAUGUUUGGCCGUGAGGCCUCAACCGGAUGCGCUGUCUACGAACGGGCACGCCCUAACUCACGGCUUCACCUAACGGCACCCCUCACAUAUGAUGGUGCCCCGGUAAUCCGCGCCGUGUUCGACCUGAUGGAACUCAUCCAGGGAUACUUAAUUUAGUUACAUUAUUUACUACUGUCGUCUCCUAAUAGUGACUCAUCAUAUGUCAAUGUAAAAGUGAACUGUAUAAACACGAGUAACACUAACGGAAUGAUCAAGACCAAUUACUUAUAUAGACUAUCGUACGAUAUGUAAGUAUCAAGAAAUAGUAACUAUUUAAUGGUACAAUAUUAACGAAAUGUAAAAAAUCGUUUAGUAAUACUCGGAUCACCACAUUAAGCAGCUCCGACCGCCGAAUGGGUGACCCUUGAUAACAAUUAUCAAGAGUGCGGGAAAAAUAACAAUAAAAAAAGGUCUCGGUGGAUGUCCUCUCCGAUCCCUAGCACCGUUCCCUCAACGCAGAUCGAUCUGUAACGAUCCUCGAACGAUCAACUAGUGGAACGAUGAGCCCGAUGCCGGCUCCCACUACAGGGUCACGUAUCUCUCUGAUGGUAACAUGUAUCCAAAACACAUGAGACACUACAUAUACUCAUAAACUUGGUCUACAAUAUCAAAAUCAUGAAAAACAACGUGAAUGUAAGAACUCAAUCAAUGAGAAACAAGAAGACAACUAACAUAAAACCUGAAUAUGCGACGAGACUAUAGUCCUAUCCUAAAAGAUACAAAGGAAAGGAAGCUGAACAAAGAACAUCUGCGGAAUAUAUGACGUCCACAUACCGCCCAGACACGUGCGUGACCUAUACGAAGACGACCAUGGGCGCGCACUGUCUAAUAUCACCAUAGUCUCGGAUCCCAACUCAGAAACACCUGGAUCACUUGGAAUCCGACCAACCUGAUAUUCUUAUCCGAGCACUCUCUGCUACAGAUCAAUUCAAAAAUCGCUUUCAUAAAACUAAGCCAUUAAAUAUUUGAGGCUUCCCACCCUCAAACUAACCUUACACGUUUAUGAUUGAAACGUCUCCCGGUGCAACCGCCGGCUGUUGCACUGUAGCCUUCAAUCAUAGACAAUAUAAAAUUAUGAAAGCGACCUAAACCCACUAAUUUUACUCAUCACACCAAACUUAUCUCAUCCAAAAUAAUUGAUACAAAUAAAAACAACGUCGUAUCCUACGGACACUGAGCAAGAUGCCGACGACCUCGUCGGCUCCGUCGACUGCGUCUCCUUCAACCCUGAAGGCGAUGGAGGCCUAGCUCACUCCAAGCCCUCAAUGUCCUAGUCGAACGCCACGACUGUCUGAAUCACUGGGUCGUCCGUCACUGUCCAAUUGUCGUCUACCUACGGCGUGCAGCUGUCCUCCUUUCUUACUUCUCCAAUCUCCUAAACGAUGACGCCGUCUACUGUCUAUCUCUCCAAGGUCUAAGAUGCGGUCGUCAUGGUCUAUCCCUAUGCUGACGAUCUCGUGUCAGUGAUCGUGGGCCAUGGAGUGUCCGUCGGGGCUCACAACUCGGAAAUGUCCUCUGUCAUCGUGGGGGUGGUCGUGGACACUGACACUGUCCCUGUCAUAAUGGACUCUACCAUCCGCGGCUCCUCGCUCUUGUCUACUACCUUGCAGAUUUACUUAAAGCAGCAACGUUAGGAGUACAAAAACUACCUCUUUUUCGACUAGUGACCCACCACCUUUUUACCGAUGACGUAUACCUUUUCAAUAAGAUACUAUGGAAACACCUCCUCGCUAUAGCUCAAACCAAACGCUGUGUGGUGAACCUACCACUCCGAAUGUCCACCAUCCACCUAUAAGUACUCCUAGGGGCAUGACUAAACAGAUACUAGUGAACCUUCUCCAAAUUCCUCAACAACAACUGUUGGAUAAAAGAUGUCUCACACUUCUCUGUCUACCUCUCCCUAGACGCAUCGGACUCCGUCCCCCUGUCUUGUCAUCGACUCAUGCUCGCUCUCAAAAGAGCUAACGAUGUAACACAUGGGAAGCACCAAUCUCUACUACUUCUAUUCCGGGCAUAGAAACUCCAUCCGAACGCUGGACGCUUAAAAUCCAACCAAGUCCGUAGCUUGGACAGCUGAAUGGCCCUGCACCACUUGGCUCGUAACUAACAUCUCUUCCCCCGUCUCUAACAUUUUCUUUCCCUUCAACACCUAGCUUCGUUUCCCUUCUCCGGUCCCUGACUCUCGUCACCUGUCGUUAGAAAAUCCUCUGGCGGUUUCAUGGGCUCUCCGGUCGGUUCAGUCAGCUCCCCCGUUCCGAGAAAAUGUUGAGCGUCUCGUGGUCUCGCAGCAGCUGGCGGCGCAACACACUAGACGUCACCAGGGGUAAAAGGUGGCGUCACAGGAGUUACACCACCGUCCACAAAGUAAACACCGGUCCUCCCGAUAAAAGCUAGGCUCACGGGCUCUCGAGGAAGUGGUCGUGGUAGAAGUCGCAGCCGUGGACGUAGAAAACGAGGCUCAGUCCCCUGAGGUAGGCGUGUCAUAGUCAGAUCCGCUGGGGGGCCUGUCGCCGUCAGUCUCUCAAGUGUCGUCCCAAGCUCACCCGCCUACAUACGGUGGGUCUGACUCCUCCGGCGUCGCCGUGUCCUCCAGCAUCGUCCAUAAUAAAACUAAGUACUAUAAGCUCAAGCACGUAAUAAACUAUGACCACGUAGUGUAAGGAAAUAACUAGCCGACAAACGGCUCAACGUAUCGUAUGUCAAUCAUGGAUGAAACAUAGGCCCUGCUCACUAGCACGGGCUGGUAUGGGACUUACAGGCAAACGCGAGUUUAAACUGUCAGUCUGAGCCAAAAUGAAUUAUUCAUGUUUUUUUAAAAUUAGAAAGUCAAAGCUAGUGUAAACCAGUGGCUUUCGAGAUGGCUUGACAUUAGAGAUCGUCUAUUGUCAGCCUAAAAUAAAAGGUGGAAGGCCCACAGUCUUACUAUACUUUGAAAUUUAGAUCGGAGUAUUUUUAUCAGGACUAUAUAAGAGCUCAAAAGUAUUAAAAGACUGUGACACGUAAAAGACGAUUUUAUAGUCGAGGCAAAGAGUGUCUUUUAAGAUUUAGAAGACAAAAGCAAGGCUGAAGUCGUGCUCAGCAAGGGCUGAAUAUAAAAUGAAGAGAUUUAGGUUAUUUUUAUCAUAGAGUGUGAUAAAAAUAAAUAAAAAAUGAAAAUAUAGUUUUAGACUAUGCAAUGUUCGGGUUUCACAUGGCCAUGUGAAAGAGCACAGUGGCCAUUGUGCUGACGCGUCUCUGUUUUGGGCUUUCGACGAAGAGCCAAAGCAUCGUAAACAUGGCCAUGUGAAAGUUACGACAUGGCCAUGUGAAACGACAUGGCCAACGUUGAGUUACCAACAUGGCCAUGUGAAACGGGUCUGAAUCAAAAACCGAGGCAAAGCUAAGAUAAAGUGCGGUUUGUUGCGAUUUUGGAAAGGUUGAGGAAGAUUUGAAUGAAAAUUAGAAAGGUUGGAACAAGCUUAUAAUUUAUCUUGAGCAGAUUGGUAAAGUAAGCGUGCGAAAUCAGUUAAACUGAUUUCAGGUUAUAAAAGGUGGCUUCAAAGUCAUACAAUGUAUAUAUAAGAUCGAAUUAUCAGAAAACUAAUACUACGACAGCAUGUUUUACUGUUAGGUGGAGUUACACAAAACACGCAAGUACUUUUUGUAGUAAGACUCGAUAAACUUACCGUGAACCGAUAGUAUCAUCUCACCUCAUCCUCUUCUAUACACGUGGGGGUAUAGUCGUUCUUCGGUAGCUUCGGUUUGCUAAAGUCUUCAACACACACGGUUACGAGCUAUAAGUCGGAGUCAUGAACUUGCUCGGUGUUAUCAAACGAAAAACGAAAAGGUUCUCUAAUUGCUCAAGGGUUCCUUAUCUGUUUUAGGUCAUCACCUUACAGAUAGCUAACCCAGAGGCCGGGUUAGACGUAGUCUUUUACGUGCUUAAUAACCUCAUUUCCUCCUACUAUCCUCUUCUGGCACUACAUUGCAUAAGAACUACAUAGCUUCUUAUGUAUCUUGUCGUCGUUUUACUGUUCUCGCACCGCGUCGGUAUUUAACUGAUUGUUCUACUUGUCGUAUUGAUUAUAGUCCAGACCAUUAACAUUCUAUCAACUCCGACGGUUGAUUAACGGACAUUUCUCAACCUAGUCCUUCAUUACACGGCAGCCACCCAGCUUCAAAUUCUAACUCGAGCUAUCCUCAUAGUAAUCAGAAUAACAGUCAUUCUGGUCACACCCGUUCAUACAGUUUCCGUAUAAAGUGAACUCUCUCUUUAUUCGGUAAUCUAGAUAUUAGAUGAAGUUAAGGGUUCUUCAUCGCGUCUUCAGGUUCUAGAAAGUAGAGUUUAACUUAUAUCUCUAUAACAAACUACAACAGUUAAGGAAGAUUCAGUAGGGGACAUUAUUAGUAUAGUAGUUGUAUAUCGUCUUAUUAUUGAGCUGGUGCACUUCUACUAACUUGUUUGUAACGGCUCAGUACAACCGAAACCUUCUUCGGAACGACUUCUUAUCAUCUUGCUUUAAAGAGUUUGGUUCGUGUGCCGCGAACAAAUUCGGGUAUAUUUCGGAAUGCUUCGGCCGUAUGUAUUGCUCCGCCUGCUCUAUUUGGCCCUCCUCCACAGUAUAUUUAAAGAAGCACUUCUAGCGGUACGUUUUUUCGUAAAAAUUGUAGAUUAACUACUUCAAAGGUUGUAACUUAUCUACGGUGCCGGUCAUUACAUGCGUGACACCAGUAAGCUCGUUGCCCUCGUUUACAGAGGAGCAUCAGUUAGGGUAUAAGAACUCUUUUCGGAAACCGGUGGUCAAAGAAGUGCUAUAACUAUCAUUUCAAAUCGUAGUGAACAGGUAAAUCCGAGGUAAUCUCGAUUAACCAGGGUGUCUUAUCUAUAAACUCUUACUUUUAGACUAUGUCUAAUCGGAAAAACAACAAAGUCACACGCUUAUAGGUAAAGAUUAAAUAUGAAAGCACGUUUUAACCAAACUAACAUUGCCCAUCUUUCUUUUAGGGUGUGAAGAAAUCGUCAUAGUUUAAAUGAUUUAACGUAUGACUAUCAGUCUGAUUGUCACAGUGCGGGACGCUGGUGGGCGGNCACUCCCGGCGCCACCACUUCCAACCCAAGCCUUUGCAUCUCCUUUUGCAAUAGCGGUUGAGGCGUAAUUGCCAUCGCUAAGUUUUCCGCCGAUUUUCUACUUAGAGCAUCGGCCACGACAUUGGUUUUUUUGGGGUGGUAUAGUAUAGUGGUAUCGUAGUCCUUCAACAACUCCAACCACCGCCACUGUCGCAUGUUCAAUUCCUUCUGUGUGAACAAGUACUUAAGACUCUUGUGAUCUGUAUAGACUUCACAAUGCUCACCAUACAAGUAAUGCCUCCAAAGCUUUAGGGCGAAAAUCAUCGCGGCUAACUCGAGGUCGUGAAUCAGGUAGUUCUUCUCAUAACUCUUUAAUUGGCGCGAUGCAUAUGCAAUGACCCACCCAUUCUGCAUUAGUACACACCCGAGACCCACAUAAGAGGCAUCACUAUACACUACAAAGUUCUCCCCCGGGGUCGGCAAGCCAAGCACCUGGGUCGACGUCAACCUGUUCUUCAACUCUUCGAAGCUUCGAUCGCAAUCGUCGCUCCAAACAUACUUUACUCCUUUAUGGGUAAGGCGCGUUAGCGGAGUGGUUAUUUUGGCGAACCCCUCCACGAACCGCCGGUAAUAGCCCGCAAGUCCGAGAAAACUACGGACCUCCGCUACAUUCGUCGGGCGAGGCCAAUCCUUUAUUGCCUCUACUUUCUUCGGGUCUACCGACACUCCGUCGCCCAAUACCACAUGACCCAAGAAUGUGACCUCCUUUAGCCAAAAGUCACACUUCUUCAACUUUGUAUAGAGCUUCUCCUGCCUGAGUAUCUGCAACACUACUCUAAGAUGCUCUUCGUGCCCCUCUUCACUCUUUGAGUAAGCCAAUACGUCGUCUAUAAACACCACGACGCACCGGUCCAACAACGGCCUGAAGACUCGGUUCAUCAAGUCCAUAAAUGCUGUCGGGGCGUUAGUAAGCCCAGACGGCAUUACCGUGAACUCAUAAUGACCAUACCGCAUACGGUACGAGGUUUUGUGCACAUCCUUCGGCCUAAUCUUUAGUUGAUGAUACCCCGACUGGAGAUCAAUCUUCGAAUACACCUUGGACCCUUGCAACUGAUCGAAUAAAUCGUCAAUCCUUGGCAACGGGUACUUGUUCUUAAUCGUUACUUUGUUCAACUCGCGAUAUUCUACGCAGAGUCGAAGUGUGCCAUCCUUUUUCUUCACAAAUAGCACCGGAGCUCCCUACGGUGACACGCUCGGCCUUACAAAGCCUCUAUCGAGCAAGUCUUGUAGCUAUCCCUUUAGCUCCUUUAACUCCACCGGUGCCAUUCUAUACAGAACCUUCGAAACUGGUUCCGCCCCGGGAAUCAAGUCUAUAACAAACUCGACCUCCCUGUCCGGUGGCAAUCCCGGUAACUCCGCCAGAAAUACAUCCGGGUACUCGCACACUACUCGAAUAUCCCCCAACUCUGGGUACUCUUUUUGAGCAUCUACCAUGGUUGCCAAAUAGGCCUUACACCCUCCUUUGAUCAUCUUCUUCACCCUUACAGACGAUAUGGUUGCCGCGAAGUGCCUACUUUUGCAUGCUUGGUACACCAACUCUUCUUGAUCAGGCUCACGAAAAGUGAUCACCUUGCUUUCACAAUCUAUAACCGCAUAGUAUUUGGAGAGCCAGUUGGUCCUCAAGAUGACAUCGAAUCCCCACAUCCGAUUUAGCACUAGCAGAUCUAUCGGCAUAAUCCAAUCGCCUAUUUGCACUGGACACGCCAAACACUCAUUAUGGACACUGAAUGAAUAUUUUGGGGUGUUCACCGACCAGUAGUCUUCGUUAUAUGCCAUUUCUAUGCCAUGAAUGAGAUGCGCCUGUAUCAAAUACUGCUCUAGUUCUAGUGCCUUUAAUCACAAUUAUACCUCCCACGACAUCGUCGGGUACUGCAGGCUGCUGCUCCUCCACCUGAGCGGCAAAAACCUGUCCGCUAGGUGCCCUCGAUCCCUCCGGCUGUCGCGGUGAUGACGCACUCCCAGCCGAUAUCGCUGGUGGUAACCCCGAAAGCUGUCUCGGGGUCGACGGUGAUGAUGCCGCCGCCGGUGUAGACGACGUCCAGCUCGGGCACUCCCGGAUAAGAUGUCCCGGUUGGCCACACUUGAAACAUUUGUCGUCUCGCUGCGGGCAAGUUGACACUCGGUGCUCUCCGCCACAAAUGACGCACCGAGGUGGUCUCCAGUUGCUUGACUACUGUCGGGGAUACCGAGAGGGUUUCUUAGCAUUUGGCCUGCCCCCGGCACCCCCCGCCGUUCGCUUCUUGCCUUUGUCCUUUGACUCGGCGAUAGCCUCCCAUUUCUCUCGAACGUGGGCGCUACUGUGCUCUACCCAUAAGGCUCUAUCAAAGAGCUCCGCAAAGGUCGUCAGCUUCAAGAUCUGCACCUUCUCAUAUAUCCUCGGCUGGAGUGCUCGUAAUAACCAAUCAGCCCGAUCCCAAUCAUCUCGAACAACAUCGGGAACGCAGUCGAUAAUGUGGGAGAAUUCCUACUCAUACUCCCCCACCGAUCGAUCACCCUAUCUCAACUUGCGAAACUUCUCUUGUAGUCUCCGCUUUACCGUAUCGGGGAAGUAGUUUGCAAAGACUGCUCUCUUGAACUCCUCCCAUAGCAUAAGCGAAAGAUCGGUAGGUCGAUCCCGCUUGACUCGCUUCUACCACACCAUCGCCGCCUUCUCAAGACAAUGGGUGGCAAGGUACACUUUGUCUUUCUCCAAGGUAUUGAGAUCCUCGAAGAGCGUCUCUAUCGAGUCGAUCCACGACUCCACGACCGCCGGCUCUACAAAUCCGCCUUCGAAGGUAGGUGGGUCGAACUUCUUAAACUGUAUGAGAGCCGCAAACGUGCGCUCCCGCUACGCCUCUACCGCCGCACUAUCUAGAUUUGAGGUUCCCGAUCCGGCCAGUACUACCGUAACUAGCACAGCCGCCGCUGCCGCCGCUCCCUCGUCCACACUCGGCACUACCACAGGGGGCGCGAUGUCACGCUCCGGGACCGACGGAGGCCCUCCCGGUAGCGCGCACAGACCCGCCAUAUGUCUACACAUAUAAGGCGUCUGCACAAAAGCGGAAGAGUAAAGCAAGAGAAAAUCUACAAGUAGGGAUAUCUGAGCAAGUAUAUAGCUAGGUUCUAAUAUCAGGUAGAGUCAAAAGAAAACAUUACUACUAAAGCAUGAAGUAAACUAAUACAUCAUAGAUCUCCAAAUACAUAAGUAGGGUGGUGUCUAUAACCAGGUACAAAACUCUCAUAACCUCUCCCAAGAGAAAACAAAAGAGAGGUGGACCACCUAUUGCCAAAUCCCUCGAUAGCUAGCCUGAGGCGAUUCCUUUCCCGCGAUCCCGAGUCUCUCCCGAAGCGAAAGGCUCUGAAAGAAGACAUAAAACAUGGGGCGUGAGAACUAUAAAUUAUAGUUCCCGGUGGGCAAUUACUGACCUGUAUCAAAUUGCACUACUAGGCCCAAAACAUAAACAGAUAUAGAUAAGGAAAUGUAACUGCGGAAAAGAAAGCAUAUAGAGAAGGCUAUACUACUAAGCCACAAGUAUUCUGAAUGUCAAUAUAGAGUACAUCUACUCUACUGAUCCAAUAUGCCAAAACUUAAAUAAUAUGUUAUGAUGCAACAAGUAAUGCUAUGAAGUAUGCUAUAUGUCCCAAAGUCCACUACAUAUCUAGUAUGUACUAUUGAAGCAACCAAAAAUACUACAAUGUAAUAAGCGAUACUGUCAAGUAUACUAUAUGCCCAAAUGUCCAACCCUAUGCCAUAGCAUAUUAAGAGUCCAACUACUAUAACCCAGCUAGUAGUGAUUGUCAACUUGUUGUUUAAUAUUCUUGUUCAAUCUCAUUCAGGAUCUACACAGGUGUAGUCCGGCUUGUGCCGCCUAAGUGCCAGUGGUAGCUCCAGCAUUCCCACUUGAGGAAUGAGUCUAACCCUCCAGGCCCCGUAGGCUACUCGAUACCGCACGAGCGAGCAUAAGUCGCGUAGGCUAACUCCGGAGUGCCGGCUUGUGGGGAGCGACCCUCACAAGCAUGUGCGAAUGAGCACAAAUGGCAAGCAAGCAUGGUCAAUACCUCAAUAGUCCAGUCAUCAUGUCUCCAACAUGGUAAUGCAACUCAAUAGUCAUCAUGUCUCUAACAUGGAAAUGCAACUCAACAGUCAUCAUGUCUCUAGCAUGGAAAUGCACACUAGCAACCCCAAGUGUCUAGUCUAUGCCUCAAGUGAGGAUUUACUAAGUUCACUAAGUCCAACGCCUCUUUAUGGCAUUAUCUCACUAUGUCCAAAACCAAUCCAAGCCUAAUGCCGCUUUAUGACAUUAGCUUGCUAAAUCCAUCUCUAGUCUAAAUCUAAUGCCAUUUUAUGACAUUAGUUUAAUAUUUACAUACACUUUAACCUUGGUCACUUAAUGACACUAUGUCCAACCAUGGCAAAUAUGUAUUCUAAGUUCAAGAGCGUAAUCUACAUGUCAUAUCCACUUCAUGCAACGUGAUCUCAACAAGAGCAAGAAUGCUAACCAUAUGCAAGGGUCCAAUCCUGACCAGCUCUCUACUACACAGAGGCCCAAUGUACUUUAUACAAGGUAUGCACAUAUUAAGCAUUCUAAAAUUCCCAAAAUAUUCUAUUUAGUAAGAAUAUGCAUGCAUUUUCACUUUACGAUAAAUCAAAACCAUCAUAUGAGAAUUCUAACUCAUUUUGGUGAGGCCAAACCCACUGAAAAACGGAACCCUUCAUUUCGCCGAACGGAGGUGUCCACAAUUCUCCUAGCAUCCUAAAGAUGUAGGAACAAGGGUUAGACCGACCAUACGAACAUCCAAAAGCUCAAAUAUAAGCAAACUCAAGAUAAGGGCAAAACUCAUCUAAGUGAAACAAACCCUUCCCAAGCUCCAAACGGGAGCUAGAUCCCUUCCAAUCGAACCUAGAUGAAGGUUCUAAUCCGAUCAAUUGAGCUCCAAAAGUCCUAGAUCAAAAAUCCCCAAAUCAAACCCUAAAUCCUCAUUUCUAGAGUUUCAAUACAAAAAUCAUGAAAAUCAUGAUCAAAAGAGAAAUAGUAAGCAACUAACCUCUCAUGAAGCCCCAAAUAAGGAUCAAAACCUACUAGAGUUGGAGAUCUCUCCUCCAACAAGGUCAACUCCAAGCUCCCAAGCUUCUCCCAUGGUGGAAAAGUCACCGAAAGGCAAAAAGAGAGCAAAAGAGGGAAUUAAACCUCAAAAAUCCCAAGCAAAAACAAAGAAAAUCAAAGAGGGAGAAAAGAGAGCUCCCUUUCCUUCCUCCCCACUGGUUCCAAGCUAAAGGAAUAUCAAGGGUCGUGGGGUGUAUUUGUAAUGAUGCUACAAUAGCAAAAACACCCUCCAAACCCGAGCAGAUUGCAUUCUGCACUGCGUACCGGUACACGGGCCCGCGUACCGGUACACCUUCCACGAAAAGGCCAAACCCGAGCCUCGGGUUUGCUCAAAACUGCCUGUGUACCGGUACACGGGCCCGCGCACCGGUACAACCAUCAGCCCGUACCGGUACAGCCAUCAACCCUGUACCGGUACACGGCCUGAAAAAGCCACCCGAGAGUUGACCAAAAAUUCGACUUUUUGGAUUUUAGUGCAUAGCUUUAAACCUCAAUUCUCAGGAUACGAGCCAUAGGUUGGAACACUGUCAACGACCCACCAGAAAGUCUGGAAAAGCUCAGAACACAGAUUAGACACUCGAACCUUGCAAUUUGCAAAAGUCCAGUGUGUUACACGCGACAUGGUCGACACCCGCCUGGGCCGCCGCUUGCUGACGCUCUAAGGCCUCCUGGAGCCGCUGAAUCUGCUCCCCUUGGCUUCGCACAGACUCUGCUUGCUGCUGCACAACUCCAAUAAGCGCAGCCACUUGAUCCCUAAGCUUUCCGUCGCCACUCGCUCCGGAUCGCUCGGGCUCCGCACUCGGCUCCUCAGGCAUCGACCUUGUCUGUGGUCGUCAACGAGGUGCCAUCGCUUCCUGAAAAGAAGCAACUCGCAUUAGCUACAUAACCAACAUUACUCAUCAACACCCAAUUCGGCGAAAGCAACAUACACAUUUAUCCUUGCCUCAAGCGUCAUGUCGUCGGCCGCCCGACACAACACUAGAAGUAGAGGAUAAACGAAAAUUAAACUUAGCCUCUAAUCACAUUAGAGACGUCCCAACUUAAUCCAAUCACAUGCUUUCGCUAACUUUGAUCCCACGUCACUCACGUUUCCUAGAUCCUUAAGGUCUUCCAAUCCUAAGGGUCUCUAGGUCUAUUCCUAUUCUUUCACACUAGGCUCAGAUACCACAAUAUCUGUCACGCCUCGGGACCGAUACCAAUUUGGGCCGGCCCGAGCACGUCAAACAGAUGCCGAACGGACAGAGUUUUCCCUAUCCGCCCAAGGCUCAUCACCUGUACAUUUUCAAGUAGAGAAAAGCACUAGCGGAAACAUACACAAACGGCUUACACGAGAGUAAGCAAUAGCCAUGAGUGAAAGAAAGGAACUAAACAUCUACACAAGUACUAUUACAUUCAUAUUUACGAUUCUUUACAUUGCUUGUAUCAUUUCUUUUACAUCACAUUUGCCCAAAAUAAACAUUACAUUCUUUUUCUUUUACAUCUCAAUUCAUCAAAUACAAAAGAUGAAGUAAGGGAAUGCUACUACAAAAUGUAAACCCAACUCUCGUGGCCUUUGACUAAGGUGCGAUACCUUUACCGCGGUCGCUUGUCGGCUCGCUCGGUCCCGGCUCUGUGAAAUAGUGGGGUGAGAACUACAACAAAGUUUCCAGUGGGUUCGGCCCCAAUCUCACCGACUUUCCCACUAGGUCUAACUCAGGCAUAAUAGAAAGAAUAAGCAGAUAAGUAGCGAACUAUACAAAUGCAGCUAAUAUGCCUGAACAAUGCUAUCAAUAAGAUGCUCAAUAUAAAUUCAUGAAGAAUGCAUGGUCGAUGUUCUUUGUUCUUUGUUCUUUGUUCAAUCUCAAGGCUAACCCAGGGGUAUCGCCUCAUUAACUCACAACUCAAAUCUAUGAUCGCGGGCCCUCAGCUUCCUCCCGCUAGGACCGUCCUCUGAGUAACUCAACUCAGUGAUGACAAACUCUGGAGCGCGUCGCCCGAGGGGGAGCGACCACCCUCGAGCAAGGACUUAUAGCGAGUAUGAUCAAUUCUUAACUCUAAGCAUAUUCAGUUCAAUCUGUUUCUUAACUCUAAGAAAUUAUGCACAAAUGACCCUUAGCUCUAAGGUUGAAUGUCAUCAUGUCAAUCUCAUGUUCUUUGCAUUCUUUAUCUUUGACAAUGUCAAUACACUAACUCUAGUGUUCUUUACAUGCUUUACUAUCAUUCAUGUCAUACAUUAACUCUAAUGUUCUUUGAUGCCAAACUUUGAUGCUAACUCUAGCCAUUGUUCUUUAUGUCACACUUUUGAUGCUAACUCUAGCAUUUAACGUUCUUUAUGACUCACUUAUUCACUUGAUGCCACACUUUUCCCUUUGAUGUCAUACACUAACUCUAGUGUUUUAUACAACUUUAGGCUAUCUUUAGCUUUCAUUCUCAACAUUUCAUUGUAUUCAUGUCAUAUGUCACUUGUUCUUUAACUUUAUCAAGUUCUCAUCAUCAUACAUGCACAUAUAGGGUUAUUACAUUCUUAUUGGUUCUCAACCAUCUAAUGAUGCACUUGAACUCACAAAAUGCAAACAUUCACAUGUUUAUAAUCUCAUUACCCUACUAUGCAUGCAAUAAUAUACUCAUGGAUGCUCAAUAAGUGACACAUUAGACAUAAAGCGAAUUCCAACAAAUUUGGAUAGCACCACCCAUCUCGUAGGCGUACUAGGAUGCUACGGUGAUUUUCUCAGAAUUUUUAGCCUCUUAGUUUGGUACCUGCGGCAAAACGAAGCCCUAUUAGGCUAUUUUGCUCAUAACUUUACAUUAGCUUUUCGUAACGUUAAUCCGAGCACACCAACGCGUCGGAAAUACCCCCAAUUAGGUUUCUAAAGGGUCAAUUUCACUUUGGAACCCUCACAAGCAAAAGCCCCAAUUUGGGUGCCCUAGCUCAACCUAUAUCAAAACCUAGGGUUUGAUCUCAUUAGGAAGCAAAAGAAGCUUCAAUCUACUCUAGAGACUCUAUUAAAACCAUCCUUAGCUCAAUCCAAACCCUAGUUUGGAUUCUCCCAUGAGAGGGGUGAAGCUCACAUCUAAGCUUCAUCACAUAUACCCAAACCAUGAUUUUGAUCUCUUAAAGAAGCAAAAGAAAGAUUCAAAUACAUAAAAGGUUCUAUUAAAACCAUUUCUAGAUCACUUAGUUCACAUUCUAGGGUUUUACCAUGAAUGGGAUCAAAGCUUACCUCAAAGCUUUCCUUUCUUUGUGCUAGAGGUGAAGGAGAGGGAGUUGCUUCACUCCUUCUUCUUCUCCACCUUCCAUCUCCUUUUCUUCUUCCUCUUUUCCUUUCUUUCCCUUUCUUUCUUCUUCUCCUUCUUGUUUUCUAGAGAGAGAAAGAGAGGAGAGAGUGUGUGAGAGUGAGAGAAUAAGAGGAAACACAUCAUAACCCCCUCAACAUAACCCAAUUGUUACAUAAUUGCAAAUAAACCCCUCAGCUUUUAUCUUAUUAAACUGCUUGAACUGGGCAGUUUUCGUGCUCGGGGACCGGUCUCCCCGACUUGGGACAGGUCCCAGAGAGCUCUCCCCGCGGGCAACCAAGGCCCCCGCGCAGUGCAACCGGUCUCUCCCAGGGGGACCGGUCUCUCGGGGACCGGCCUCUCCCCGCAGGGACCGGUUCCCGAGAGCUGGUUUUCUGGGACUUAGCUGAUUUUUCAGCUUUCUCAAUUUCCACGCGUUCGGGGACCGGUCUCUCCCACCAGGGACAGGUCCCCGAGAGCACAAAACCUGCAGAAUGCAGAUUUUUGAUUCUUUAGCUCUCGAAAACCUCCCACAAUGCAUUUUUGAUCAUUUUAACACCUUCGGACUUUUCAAAGUGUACCAACCUCGCACUUUGGUCAAUUUGACUAAAGUUCGAUAUUUAUUUUUCAAAUUCUCGCUAUAUUACACCAAUCUUGCCGGUUAACCUUGUUAACCCCAAUAACUCACAACUCAAAAUUCCUUAAUAACGGGGGACUCGAACCACCCUAGGGACUGUCCUCUGGGGGAACUUUACCACGCCCAGUGGUGACCAACUCCGGAGCGCACCGCCCGAGGGGGAACUACCUCCCUCAAGCCAAGACUUAUCGUGAGUAUCGAUCUAAUUCCCACAUAGGAAUGUAUAGCCACUUGUCACAAUGCCACUUUACCAAUGAUAGGUCUCUACCGUAUCAUGCUUGCCAUUCUCUAGGCUACUCUUGCCACAAUGCCACUAAUGGUUAAACUUUGUUUAACAACCAAUGUCUUAAUACCAAUUGUCACGCCCCGAGCCCGCCUAUUUGGUCGGUUUCGGGCACGCCAACAGACUGUCGAACGGACAGGGUUUUUCCUGUACCGCGGACAGAGUCUCCCCUGUACAUUCAAGGCGUCGCAAUCAAUACAAUGUACGAAGUUCCAACCAGGAACACAUUUCAAACAAAGAUUGCAUAAGGAAGUAUCAAAAACAUAAAUCUACUUGCUAUUACAAGCAUUCAUCUCACAUAUUACAUUUUUGCAUUCUUAGAUUACAUCACAUUUGAUUAUUUGAUUCUUACUUCCAAAUACAAUCAAAUUAUUACAAAUUUACUACAAGUUUGAUACAUCUUGUUCUUUCAUUUUCCAUAUCCCUAAGUAGCCGACUCAGGGUGCUGCUAUCUGGUCUCAGUGGUAGGGCGCUAACUACGAAGCUACGCCCUUGCCUCACACCGCCGCGCCGCUCACGUGUGAACCUGUAACACCCCAAAACAACAUGGGGUGAGAACCAACUCCAUGGUUCCCAGUGGGUACGGCCACCCAAGGGAAGAGCUCGACCAUCAGGUCCAAAGGAGGCAAACAACAUGUUAGUCCAAUAGAUUGAUAUGAAAUCAUAAAUCGUGCAACUAACAUUACCAUGCUUUUGCCUCACAACAUGCAAUAUGCAAAUCAUGCAACUCAUAUAGGUAGAUUAAUUGAUUCUACUCUUUAUUCUUAUCCAUUCUUUACCUUUAGCCAUUCUUUACGGUACUAGCUAUUCUUUAACAUUUGCCUUUCUUUAUUCUUUAUUACUUGUCAUUCUUUAGCAUUAGCCUUUCCUUAUUCUUUAUUCUUUAUUCUUUAUUCUUUACGCUUUACUAAGGGUACUCACACCUCAGUAAUAUUAUAUGCAUUAGCCUUUCUUUCCUAAGGUUACUUUACCUUAGCCAACUAUGCCAUCCGACUCGGUCUUGAGUGAAUCAACUGUGGAUAGUCCGCGCUCUGUCCGGCUCGAGGUGAAGGAACUCUCACAUGCACCUCAGCCUUCAAUCACAAACCACAUCGCCCAGCUGGUCGUCCAGAGCUGUGUACACCCGUGGUCAGGGAUCUCCCGGUGGGAGAGGAACAUGCCGCAUACACCCGCAGCCGAGAUCCCCGAUAGGGAGAGGAACAUGCCACAUGCAUCCUAGCGCUCAUUAUUCUUGCUCAUUGACAGGCCUUGAAGUUCUUCCGGUGGGAGAGGAAUGUGCCACAUGCACCCGCGGCCAAAGAACUAUCGAGCUUGUAUGCUGCACUAGCAGCCGCUGCACUAGCAGCAGGGAUUUCGGAAUCCACUUUACAUUACUCAAGGGUUGGUCUCACCCUACGUUAUCGACCUAUCUAGGUCCAAGCCUUUACUCAACCUAUGUUUAUACAUUAGGUUCAAUGUCAUUAUUUUCAUAGCCUAGGUUCAUUAAUACUAGGUCCAACAUUCUUUAUCACCUAGGUUCAUUCGACUCUAGGUUUCAUGUCACUACAUUCACAACCUAGGUUUACUUGACUAUAGGUUCCAUAUCAUUACGUUCACAACCUAGGUUUACUGACUCUAGGUUCAAAGCCACUCAUGUUUUUGUUUUCCUAGUUGUCCACACCUAGGAAUUAUACUUAACAUGCCACUCGUGAUUAACCUAUGUUCAAUGACACUAGGUUCAAUGCCACUCGUCAUCCUAGUUAUUUAUACUUAGGAUUCUUUACAUAUGACACUUGUCAAGUUCUCUACUUUACUUAGUGUUCAUUGACUCAAGUUCAACCUUCAUAUCAUUCUAACAUAUUCUUACAUUAUAAAAUCAUGCAUUUAUACAUCAUCUCGCUCAUAUGUUUAUUUAACAUACAUCUCAUACAUGCCUUUAACAUUUAACUCAUGCUUCAUCUAGCAUUUCUAUAAUAUGUCUACACGCAUUCUUUAGCAUACAUCUCAUAUGAUUCGUUACUUGGCACAUAUUACAUGCAUUACUUAACAUCUAUCACAUGCAUUCAUUUCUUAGCAUCUUUAUCAUGCAUUCUUACUUAGCAAUUCUUAUCAUGCAUUCAUUUCUAAAACAUGCAUCUAGUUCAUGUUACAUGGCAUUUUACUCAUGCAUUUAUCUAGCAUAUGUCUUACAUACUCCUUUAGCGUUUAGCUCUUGCAUUCGUUAGCAUACUUCACAUACCUUUACUUAGCAUCUAGCUCAUGUCAUUAUAUGCAUUUAUUAGCAUCAUUAUGGUACAUUUUUACUUAGCAUUCUUAUUAUGCCUUCUUACUUAACAUUCUUAUCAUGCAUCAAUAGUGAAACAUACUACACUUUGGCAUGAAGGCGACCUAGUCGCUUCGGUAAACACAACCCACCUUUUAACGCGUUCCGAUUGCUUGUCGUCACUUGCAAUCGGCCUCCCGUGGCACCCGUGACCCGGUUUGGCCCGAACUCUUGCGCGACCACCCGAACAGCCACCAAUUCGCGAUCCGUCUGUUCGGGAGUUUAUUCCUCGACACCACGAUGCUCCCGAUCUAUUUUCAUGAUUUUUGGAGGCUUAUCCCGCGUGCUGCGGCUAUCUGUACCAAAACAGACAGUUUCGUCAAUAACUUCGCGUACACUCGUCGGAUUGUUGAACCGAGUGCACCACUGCGUUUGUUAUACCCCCAAUUAGGUUUGUAUAGGGUCAAUUGAGAUCAAACUCAACUAUUUACAAAAAUCCCUUUUUUUGGAGCCUUAGAUGCUACUCUAGCAAAAUCCUCCAUUUCAUCUCAUGAAUCAAGCAUAAACCAUCUAUUUAGCAUGCUAAGAUUCCAUCUAAAUCAUCUUUAGAGUGUAAGAACUUAACCCUAAAGAUCUACCAUUAAAGCUUCAAGAAGCUUACCUCUUUAGGUUUGCUCCUAGGUGAAGAAGAAGAUGAUGGAGGGAAGCUCUCCACUUGCUUCACCUUCUUUUCCCUUUCUUCUUCUUCUUCUUCUUCUUCUUCUUCUUCUCCUUUCCUUUCUAGAGAGAGAGAGGGAGAGUUUUGGAAGUAUACGGUGAGGGAGAGGGAGAGAGAGAGGUUCUAAUCCUCUCUAUACACUUAACCCAUGCACAAAAUGACAAUAAGCCUCUCAACAAUGCAUCUCUUGCAACAGCCCGAACUGGACAUUUUCGAGCUUCGGGGAUCGGUCCUUGCGAUGAGGGACCAGUCCCUGAGAGACCGGUCCUUGGCUGAGAGACCGGUCCCCGAAGGUCCAGAAAUCAGCCUUCAAGGACUUAGCCAAAUUUUCAGCUUUUUCGCCGUUUUCGCUCCGUUUUCGCUCGUUUGACAUCCGAUUCGUUUCAAAUCGAACCGAGACUCUCCAAACAUGUUUUCAAGCAUGUCUUCAUCAUCUUUUCAUCCACGCUAAUGCCGGAUUUAGUCCACGGUCCAACAUAGCCUUUCGGGUCCCGUUUUCGCGCCCUAUGCGCACCGAAGCACCCGAAUGCUCCCGAACUUUGCCGGAAUGAUUCCAAUGGCUUUCUAAGCUAACAUACAUCGUAACUUCAUGAAUUAGAAGUUCGGUAUAUUACACCAAUCUUGUCUCUAUUGUCAAUGUCACCUUUGUUUACUAUUAUCUUGGUCCAAGUCUUACAUUCAUACAAUCUUUAGGACUCUACUAUACAUGUCUAUUAUGGUUCUUGUCAUUCUCUAUAUUCAUCUACGUUAGAAGCAUAAAAUGCAAGAAUGGUUCUAUACAUAGUAUGUUCAACAAAAGGCGAAAUAAACAUAAAGGGGAAUCCAACGAUUCCGGCGUGCACCCCCUACCUUGAAUAGUGUAGAAGGGUUGUAGUUCGACUCUCGUGAUUUUAGGACGCCUCUUCGACUCUCGUGAUUUUAGGACGCCUCUCCUGCGACCUAUACCCAAAGUAGUGCCGAAUUAGGCCCUAUAUACAAGAUCUCUAACUUAACCUUUUUGUAACGUCAAACGAAGUUGUCAUACGUGUCAGAAAUACCCCCAAUUAGAUUUCCAAGAGGUCAAUUUACCUCGGAAACAACCGGAGGUACAAGCCCCAAAAUUCAUGCCCUAACAAUGCCAUAAUGAAAUUUCUCCUAGAUUGAUCUUAUCUCUAAGCAAAUACUAGCUUAGAAUCACCUAGGAAGCUCUCUAAUACCAUCACUAAGCCAUUUAGACUAUUCCUAGGGCAUCAACUAUGAACCCCAGUUAUCCACCAUGAGAGGACCUUGAGCUUCCAUGGUUUUCAUGGAGCUCAAGCCUCAAGAGGGUUUCUAACUCUAGAAACAAACUCAAAACUCUAAAACUUAGGGUUUAAAUCCUAACCCUAGAGCCAUUCUUGCACAAAACUCACCUUCGCCACGAGCUCACCCAAGUCCACCUUGUUGGACAGCCUCUAGAACCACCAAUUCCUCCAAAAUCCACCUUCAAUGCCUUCCAAGCCUCCUCCUCCUUGCUCUAGGGCACACUCUCUAGAGAGAGAGAGAGAAAAAUGAAGUGGAGAGGAGAAGAGGGGCUGCUGCUGUGAAGGGAGGUGUUUCGGGGUAUUUAUGGUAUGCUACAAUUGCAACUAGGCCCCCCAAAUAUCCCUAUUUGCAACAGAUUUUAAAACUGCUGCCAGACCAAAGUGUACCGGUACACGGAAUUUUGUACCGGUACAACACUGCGCAGAGGCCAAACCCGAGAGCAACUCUCUUGGUUACGCGAGAUUUGUACCGGUACAUUUUCAAAGUGUACCGGUACACUUCCAAUUUUUCUCAAACCCGAGGGCUGACUCUUCUCGGGUUGCAGGGCUGUACCGGUGACAUCUCGCUGGUUGUACCAGUACACUUUGCCCAGAAUGCAGGUUUUGCGCCAUUUUCGAUUCUUUUUCACGCCGAUCGAUGCUAAAACCUUUCUAACACCUCUUAAACUCAUUUUAUACCCUUCCAACAUUGUUGGAAUGCUAAUGGAACUUGUCCAUCCAUUUCUCUCGACAACUUUUGUAACAUACCACAUCCCUUGUGAAUCAUACCGAGUUCCGUUAAAACGAGCGGAACGCGAAAUUGAAUGAGUUAAAGUGGACCCUAAGUGCAUUGGAGUUCAUAAACGGAGCAAAAAGGGACCCGGAGAGCAAAUCUGGAAAUCUGGCUAAGUCCCAGAUUUUGAGCUCUCGGGGACCGGUCCCUGAAUGAGAGACCGGUCCCCGUGCGCGUAGCCUGCCAGGAAAUCCUGAGGCAUCCGGUCCCUGAAGGAGAAACCGGUCCCCGUGCGCGUAGCCUGCCAGGAAAUCCUGAGGCAUCCGGUCCCUGGUGGUGAGACCGGUCCUCGGGAGACCGGUCCCUGACGGGCAGACCGGUCCCUCGCUGCGCAACAGCCGAAAACUCGAAAAAUUUGGCUAAGUCCUGGAAAACCCCCGUUCGGGAACCGGUCCCUGGUCGGGGAGACCGGUCCCCGAAGGCGAAAAAUGCCCAGUCUGGGCAGUUCAAGUGGAAACAAGUGGAGGGGCUUAAGUGCAAUUGUUACAACACUAUAUAUGACUCACCCCUCUCUUCCACAGCCAUUUCCACCCUCUCACCCAUUUCCUCUCUUUCUCUCUCUAGAACCCAUGCUCUAGAACUUGGAGAAGAAGAAGAAGAAGAGAAGAGGAGGAGGAUUUGGAGGCUUUGGAGGUUCUAGGAGCUCUCCAACAAGGAGAAUCUUGGUGGAGCUUGGACUAGAGGUAAGUUUUGUAAGGUUUUCCUCUAGGGUUUGGAUUUUGGUUAAGAGAUUUGGAGCUUUGUGCUCCUUAGAGGUUUUAGAAGCUCUUUUGAGCCAUGAACACCAUGGAACCCAUGAGAGCUCAAGGUGCUCUCAUGGUGAAUCCUUGGAAAUGAUGUUUGGAGCCCUAGGGUUGGUACCAAAGGUCUAGAAACCUUGUUAGGAUGCUUCUUAGAUGAUCCUAUGCUAUUCUUUGCUUAGGGUUGGGAUCGAUUCAUGGGAAAACCCUAAAUGGCAAUAUUAGGGCUUGAAUUUGGGGCUUUUGCCCUAGGAUUGUUCGGGGACAAAUUGACCCCGUAGAAACCUAAUUGGGGGUGCCCUAAACACGUUGGACAACUUCGUUUAACAUUUCGAAAAUGUUAGAGUAUAGUUCAUGUACAAAAAGGCCUAAUAUGGCACUAUUUGAUUAUAGGGCGCGGAAUCGGCUUUCGUAAAGUGCGGGGGCCUUAAUAUUCUACACCCACACGACUCACAGAGGUGGGGGGUGCACGCCGGAAUCGUUGGAUUCCCCUCUAUGUCUAUUUCUCUAUUUUUGAGCAUAUAUAUAUAUAUACACCCAUUCAUGCAUAGUAGGGUAGCUACAUGUGGAACUUGGUUUGACUUCAUUUAUAUGCUUCUAACGUAGUUGAACAUAGAGAAUGAUAGAACCAAAAUGGACAUGUGUGAUUGGACCCUCAAGUUGUGUGAAUGUAAGAAUGGACUUGGACAUUAGAAAACAAGGGUGUCAUUGACAUAGAAACAAGAAUUGCAUUGAGAGAUGACCGUUGAAAAUAGUUUGACCCAUAGUGACAUGGUCGAAGAUAAGGCCUUGAAAGUGGCAAAAAUAAAUAGGUAGAGACCUAUCGUGAUAUUGGCAUUGUGACUAGUGGCUAUGAAUCCUCAAGUUGAGGAUUAGAUCGACACUCACCUUUCGUCUUGGCUUGAGGGAGGUCGCUCCCCCUCGAGCGGUGCGCUCCGGAGUUGGUCACCACUGGGCGUGGUAAAGUCCCACCAGUUGACGGUCCCUAGGGAGGUUCGAGUCCCCCGUUAUUAAGGGAUUUUGGGUUGUGAGUUAUUGGGGUUAACAGAGUUAACCGGUAAGAUUGGGUAAGAGCCAAAGUUUGAUUAUGAUUGGAGCAUGCAUGCAUUUCCAUUUUCGCAUUGAAAUUGUAUAUCUACUGACUUUUUCUUGCAGGCAUAGUAUUAGUUGCAUUAGUAAUGGUUACUUUUCUUCCUUUGAAAUACUUAUGCCUGGAUAGACCUAGUGGGUAAGUCGGCGAGGUCGGAUGCCGAGCCCACUGGGAACUUCGUUGUAGUUCUCACACCACUAACCCUACAGGUCCUAGCACGAGCGGGGCGGCGGAGGACCGAGGCAAGGGUUUGGCGCCGUAGGUAGCGGCCACCGGGGACUUUAUGCAUUUUGUAGUCAUUCCCUUUUGUUAUACAUGUAUCAACUUUAUUUUGUUGAUUUAGGUAUGUAAAGUGUAAACAAUCAUGUAUUUGGUGGAUGACUAAAUGUAAAAAGAUACGAUGAUUGAAUAAAAUGUAAUAGUUUUGCUUACUUGAAUUUGGUUUAAAUGAAAUCAAAUAUCAUGUGUGAUUCAUAUUUAGCUUAGAGCUUUCGCUUCCGUUGUUGCUUGCCCUCGUGCGAGCCUUCUAUUAUAUAUGCAAUUCUCUUGUUAAUUGCUUAAUUAUACGUGUUGUUAGAGCCUUGGGCGGACAGGGGAGGCUCUGUCCGUUCGGCGUCUGUCGACGUGACCCGAACCCGACCAAAUUGGUGGGGAUUGGGGCGUGACACAACAUAUGUUAGAAGUCGAUAGAAGAAAACCCGCACACGGUUUGCCUCAAUCGGAAACAACCCCUGGCGCGAGAACGAUCUCCUAAGAAACGAAGAAUCAAAAGAAGCUAGAGAGAGAAAAGGAGGAGAAUUACCCGUUCUCCAAGUCUUCUAUACAUAUAUAUUCUACUGGGGUCGAUUGGGAUAAACCUAACAACAUAAUGACCAAAAGACCCCUUACCAACUCAAAUCUGCUGCCUGAGUACCGGUACUCAAUUUGGGUACUGGUACCCAAUACUCGGACAGCAACUAUGUACUGGCCCAAUGCAGUACCGGUACCUGGUUCCAGUACUGGUACUCACCACCUAGGUACCAGUACUCCAUACAAAACUUCACAACUUGAGAGCAACUAUUCGACAAAUCCUCUGAGGUACCGGUACUACACUCAGGUACCGGUACUCAACACUCAAAGCCUGCUAUUUGCAGAUUUCAGUGUCAGCACUCUACUCUCACACUGUGCCGAACCCGUUUUUGCGUCCAUUUUUGCGCCAAACCGACUCAGACUUGACUCGACACUCUACAAACGUGUCGACAAGCCACUGAUGCUACAGUCACUCAGACAGCAAAACCUCAAGAACACUACAGAGAGGGGGAAAAAGAAAAAGAAAAAGAUAGAUAGAAAGAAAAAGAAAGAGAAGGAAAGAAUGAGAGUAAGAAAGAGAUAGAUAGAAAGAGAAAGAAAUAGAGAAGGAAGAAAAAGAGAGGAUGAAACAAAGUGUGAAUUGGCCCAAUUCGAACCUCUAACUUCGCAAUUGAUCGCCACAGGGUGUAGAGAGGUGUAAAAGAGUUUGCGGCGUGCGUCCAGCAACUCGAAUUUUAAGGUAAUUGGCAUUCAAUUGAGGCGAAUGAGGAGCAAUUAGAAAAUCCGAUGUAUGUCGUAAUUCCGAAAGUUUUGCCUUGUGUAGUGUUUAAGUAUGAUCGUGAGCCGAGGAAAAGUGCAUGAAUGGGGGAUUUCUUUCCAUAGUUAACGUAGCUCGUUGAGGUGGGUUCUGAGUCGCCGAAAAUGGCGAAUUUCCUUCUAUGUCUAUUUGGCACCAUAUAUAGUAUUUGAGCAUCUGUACAUGAAUUAUAUUGUAUUGUUCGUCAUAUCUAGACAUUCGACGCAUGAAUAUGAGACAUAAUACUCGAGCAUGAACAUGAGUAUGAAUAGGAGGCAUGAAUUUGAACUUGAACUAUGAGUAUAUCAAUUUUGACACUGUAUAUCGUACUUGAAGCAUGAACAUGAGUUAUUUCCGUUUAUCUUGUAUUGAGCAUGCCACAAGUGACAUGUUAGAGGUCUAGGCUUCGUGAGACCUUUGACGGCUGCUCUUUAGAUACUUUGUGGCCGAGGAUUCGUGAGACAUGUGUGAUAUUAUUUUUGGAUAUUUAUGAUUGAGUUGAGACCAUUGGAUCAUUUCUUGUGAUUAUUGACCAUUCCAUUGUCUAAUAGACGUUACAUAAUGAUUAUUAGCUAUAUCUCAUAUUAGACAUCCUAACUAAGGUCCUGGGAGGCCACUCUACAUCUUGUGUAUAUUGAUGAGUCGUCUAGUACCCCUAUAUGUUGUACAAAUCAAAGGUAAUGUAAGGUAUCUAUGUGAGUUGUCUAUGUGAUUCAUCUAUGUGAGUCAUCUCUUAUCUAUUUCUCUUGUACAUGCCUGAACUCGAUGAUAGAGGCUGCGGGUGGCGCGGCGGUAGUGUGCAGAUAUUUGGACAUAGAGAGAGAGUAGUUGACUUUAUUGAGUAGUGUGCAUAUUCUUUUGUGACGGUCGACUUCCUGUGUACUCCAUUAUUACGCUGAGGACAGUGUAUUGGGUAUCGUGAUAUUGUUAGCUAUGAGAUAGACCAUAGCCUGUAGAGCCACAGUGAGUUUGACAGAGAUACUUGCUAUUAGACUCGGUAGGGGUUGCUCCCGUUCGAGUGUCGCUCCGGAAGAUGGCUAGUUAUAGCAGAGAUAUGUGUGCCCUUGGGAAGGCGACCCACCUGCGGGAGUGGUGUUCGGGCUGGGGACAGAGCCUAGGUGUUGAUGGUGCACUUGCCGGAAUGCGAUUCCGGCACUAGACGGGCGCAGGCUUGACCGGACGUACGAGUCGAUUAUUGUGAUUGGGUACUAUUAUAGCAUUUAUUUAGUAGUAGUUACAUUGAUGCAUACACUACUCAAUUUCUUUCCUUUCCUCUCGCUACAUGUGCAGGGACAUGAUAGUGCAACAGGUAUAGAGAUAUGUUUAUAUUACAUACAGUUAUUCCUUUACUAUUACCUUAUGUUUCUCUAUGCAGAUCAUAGCCAGUUAAUCUUUUAUUGUACUAUAAAUUCUCUGUUCAGAUCAGAGCCAGUUAUCUUUCCUGUAUACAUGAUAGUCAGUUACAUUUAGCUUCUAUUUAUUGCAUAUGUUACUUUUCUUUCACUAAUCUGGCCGCCACUGGGAACUACUAUUUGGUGGUUUACUUUUUAGGGCUUUACAUACCGGCGGCUGUUCAAGGUGAGGAGGAUCGUGUAGUAGAUAAUAUAUCCCAUCAGCAGGCCUAUACAUUAAAGGACCACCAGUUAGAAGGCCACUAUGUACUACACACAUGUACUGGUGAGGACCAGAGCCUAUACCCUGUACUUUUGUUUUGAGGGUUGCAUUUAUUUGAUGUAGUACAUGAUGUAUUGUAAUUCAUCUUGGAAAUAGCUCUGAUAAAUGUUCUUGUUUAUUUAGUACUUCAUCUUGAUCCUUGUAUUGUAGAAAUCCCUCAAUUAUGACCUUGUGGAUUGUUUUGUACUAUUCGAUUGUGUUGACGCUUCAUUCGGAUAGGGGAAACUCUGUCCGUUCGAUGGGUCUGUUGAUGUCCCUGUGGCUUCCUCUAUGGACUCGGUGCGUGCAGAUUUGGGUGGUAUCAGAGCAUGGACAUAGGUCAAGUGGACGUAGAAACAUUAGGAUUUAGGACGUGAGUGACGUGACCUUUGGGCGAAAGUCAUUAAAUUGAUUCUUGUAAACUCUUCAAAAGGAACUGAAGAGUGAUCGAAGGAUAUGCAUCUUUUCUUCUUAGAUAAUUAUGUUGGCUGCAGACAACAUAAUACUAUAAAAGAAAAGAAUGAGGUCCUUCUCGACUUUCGCUUGAUUGGGUCAAGUUGGGUCCAGUGAGGUGUGUAUGGUGCUUGAUAUAUGUUUUGUAUUAGACACUUGUGCUGACCUAUCACGGCCCACGACUGCCAAUUUGGUCGGUUCGGGCACGUCAACAGACGGCGAGCGGACAGCACCUCCCCUGUCCGCCCAAGGCUCCACCAACACAUGUAUAACAAUAGCAAUUCAAACAAAGAGAAUGCAAGUAUACAUAGCUUGCACGAGGGCAAGCAUCAACCACCAAACAAGUGAAAGUAAUCUAACUAUUACAUUCAUACAUUGUAACUUGAUCAUUUUGAAUCAAAUACAAAGCUUAUACAUUUUCUUUACAUCUAUUCAUCCAAUAUACAUAAUCAUCACCCAAAUGAAUUUAUUACAUUUUUCAUUCAUCAUAUGUAACAGAUGAAUAACAUAAGGUUAUACAACGGUAGUCCGCUACCUAGAGCACGAUAACCAUGCCGCGAUCAUCGACCGCCCCGCUCGCGCUAGGACCUGUAUGGUUAGUGGGAUGAGAACUACAAUAAAGUUUUCAGUGGGUUCGGCAGCUAACCACGCCGACUUUCCCACUAGGUCUAAAUCAGGCAUAAUAGAAGAACAGAUAGAUNGGUUAGUGGGAUGAGAACUACAACAAAGUUUCCAGUGGGUUCGGCCGCCGACCCCGCCGACUCGCCUACUAGGUCUACUUAGGCAUAUGUAAGAAAAGGAUAGAUAGAUAGCAAACCAAACUAAUGCUAUUACAAUGCCUGCAAAGAAACUGGGUCAACAAAUAAUAUGAUCAUAAGUAUAAUGAUGCAUGCAUGCUUUUCCACAUUUACCUUGGCUUUCACCCAAUUAACCCGGUUAACACUUGUUAACCCCAAAAUUCACAACCAAAAUUCCUGUCGAUCGGGGAGACUCUGUCGCUACAACCCGAGGGACCGUCUUCUUGGGAUAAUUCAGCUACACCUAGUGGCGACAACUUCGGAGCACACCGCUUGAGGGGAGCUACCUCCCUCAAGCCAAGACCCUAUGUGAGUAUGAUCCAAUCCUCAAUUUUGAGGACGCAUAGCCGAACCUGCUAUUUUUACCGCAAAACCACAAUGCCACAAUGCCCAAGGUCACACUUGCCACAAUGCACAAAAGGAUUUUAUCUCGUCUAGCAUAUCAUAUACUGGGCCACACUUGCCACAAUGCUCUAAGAAUUUUACUUCAUCUAGCAUAUCAUAUACUGGGCCACACUUGCCACAAUGCAUAAAAGGAUUUUACCUCAUCUAGCAUGCAUAUCAUGUCAUAAUGUCACAAUGUCACAUUAUUAUAAUGUCAUAUCACCAUGCCACAAUGUUAACUAAUGUUAUAGUUCAACAUUUCACAAUGCAUAUAAUGUUUAUCAACAUCAUAAUCCAACAUUCCACAAUGCUCUUAAGGUUUUAUCUUAUUUAGCAUAUCAUAUACUUGGCCACACUUACCCUCUAAUGUUAAUGCCACCUUUGUUUACUAAUGUCAUAGUCCACAAUCCACAAUCAAUUCAUACAUUUAUAGGGUUUAACAUGCAUGGUCGAAUAUUUAUUCAUAUAUUCUCACACCUAGAAGCAUAUCAAGAUUCCCAACCAUAGCCCAAUACCCUACAAUGCAUGAAUGCCAUAACACACAUAUAUGCUCAAGAAAAGGCGACAUAGACAUAGUAAGAAAUUCGGAGAUUUCGGAUAGCACCCCCCAUCUGUAGUGAUGCCGUAAUGCUACGAUUCAAGUCCCGCGAUUUAUGGCCGCCUAUUUCCUCGACCCAUGGCAAAUGAAGCCGAAAUGAGGUUUUUCCUACAUAUCUUGACGUAGAAUUGUAAUACACUGGAUCUUAGCAAAUUGCAAGAUUCGAGUGUUUGAUUUGUGAGUGGAGCCUUUCCACGGUUUUUGGAGGGUCGUUGAUAGUGUUCCGACCCCUGGCACGCACCCCGAGGGUGUUGGUUUGAGUCUUGGCACCAAAAUCCCAAAAUUAGAAUUUUUGGUCAGCCCUCGGAUAGCCUGCAGUAGGGCUAGUACCGGAACAAGACUGGCCUUGUACCGGUACAAGGGUUGAUGGUUGUACCGGUAUAGCCAUCGGGCUUGUACCGGUACAGAGCCGCAGACCGAGCAACCCGAGCCUCGGGUUUGCAUUUUCGUCGGCCUUGUACCGGUACAAGAACCCGUGUACCGGUACAAGGAGGCAGAUUUCGUGCAGUUUGAACUACAGGGGGUUUUUCACGAUUGUGGGCUUUUUAUAACAGCAUCCACGCCCCUUAGGGCUUUUUUUGUGCUGGAACCAGAGGAGAGGAAGGUGAGUGAAGCUCCACCUUGUCCCAUUUGAUUUUGAUCUCCAUUUUGCUUGGUUUUUGAUAGAUUUUCUUCUCUUUUGCCCUUUGGUGCCAUUUCCUCCAUGGAUGAAGCCUCAAGCUUGGAUUUGGAGCUAAGUGGAGGAUAGAUCUUGGGAUUUAAAGGAUUUAGAGCUUGUUUUGAAGCUUCUAAGAGGUAAGCAACAUGUUCUCUCCCUCUAGAUUCAAGCUUUAUUGGAUUUCAUGAGAUGAAACCCUAGAUUUAGGUUUUAGGGUUAAUAUUGGGCAUUUUGAAUCUAGGGCUCUUGGAGCUAGAUUGAGUGGAUUAGAGGCUUCCAUUAGGUUGGAUUGGAUGAGCCCUAGCUUCAUUUUGGAGCUUUAGAGGAGAUUUUUGCACUAGAGGUGAGUUUUCCUCACCUAUGCUUGAUUAGCUUAAUGAUUAAGCUAAGUUUUGUUCGUUCGGCUCGUGUGACUCAUGUUCUUGUACCUUUAGGGUAUUAGGAGUGUGGUGGACGCCCUCGUUGGAGCGCACGAGGAGUUUCGUCGUCAUCGGUGGGUUUGGCUUCGUGGAAAUGGGGCGAAAUGGCCCCUAUGCUCUUUCUACUUGUUGUAAAUUAUUUUUAAGUUCAUUUCUAUGCUAAAUGAAAUUUAUAUGAAUUUUAGAGCACUUAAAAUGCAUGCCUCGUGUAUUAUAAAAAUUUCACUAUAUAGUAGAGCUAUAUGAGUAGAAUGCAUGCAUACGGGAAAAGUGUUUAUUUUGCAAGUGAAAAAUACAUCUCUUAUGAGAAUUAUGACUUGGAAUAUAUAUACUUUGGAACAUAGUUACCAUGUUUUGACAUAGAGAACCAGAGUGUCAUAAAGGGGCACUUGAAACUAGUAAACCAUGAAACUGCAACAUAGAGACAUAUUGGUAGGCCACUACAUAUCUGCUAUAUUCCAUGUUAGAGACAUGAUGACAUAGGGAUAGGCCAUUGAGAUACCUGACACAUUCCAUGUUAUUAGACAUGAGGACUUGGUACUUGCGACAGAUCGUUUGACUACUUGCCAUUGUGCUCAUUCGCACAUGCUUGUGAGGGUCGCUCCCUACAAGCCGGCACUCCGGAGAUGGCCAUCGCGAUACAUAUUCGCCGUGCGGGAUUGGGCGCCGAAGUGGAUUGCCGUGGGCCAGGCUCAUUCCUAGGGUGGGGAUGAUGACUACCACGGGGCCAUUAGGCUCGGCACCGGCCAGACAGCCUACGGGUGGGUCUCAGGGCCAUAGACAGCCUUCGGGUGGGUCUCUUCAGAUUGGACUUUAUAUAUCCGUUAUGACAUGUGGAUAGAUGAUGACUUAGAGUAUUAUUUGGACAUUGACUAGAAUAGUAAACAACGGAACUUUACUAUUUCGCAUUGUGAACAUUAUGAUAGUUGGAGACUUUACUUCAUGCAUAGUUGCUUUCAUACUUUUACUAUUCAUGCUAAGUAGAGAUAUCAUGUCGUAGUAGGUUACAUUUUUACUUACCUGUCGCCUUUCUACUUUUAUAGUCACUGACAUCUUUUGUAGCUUUGGGCCUUGUGGUGCAUCCACUGAAGUCAGUAAUUGCCCACUGGAAACUAUUUUUAAUAGUUCUCAUGCCCCCGUUUUGUGGUUUACUUUUCAGAGCCUUCGGCACCGGCGGAGGCACGGGAUCGCGGCAAGGGGAUCGCUUAGCUAGCUAGCGAGGAGCGGUACUUUGCCUAGGUGGUUUACUCUUUCUUUUUGUAGUUGAGGGAGAGUGAGAGAUUUUGUAUCCAUGUAUAGAGACCACCUAUGUACCUACUUUUAGCACUUGUAUUUGGGAUCCCUAUUGUACUUACUUUAUGUUUUAUUUAGAGGAUUUACAGUUUUAACUUUAUCCCUUGUGGUAGCAAUUAGACAUUCACUAUGCUCUGAUACUCCUAGAUGUCUUUUAUUAUUGCUUUUAUUAUUGUUGUUUUUUAGACGCCUUAUAUGUUGUAGACAUAUGGCGGGUCUGGGCACGCGCCGGGCGGGCUCCUGCUGGGUCCCGGGGCGUGACAAGAAUCGACGAAUCUCCAAACCGAGUGUUCCCACACGUCAGUUUAUCUACCAAUUAGGGCUACAAGAGAUCAAACUCAAGUUAGAUCUCAUAGUUCACAAAACCCCAAAUCUAACCCUAAGGUUUUCAUCUUUACCAAAUAACCCCCUAUUCAUGGAGAUUCACAAACUAUUCCAUCAUGACAUCUCCUAGAAGCUACAUCUAGAAGGAAAUAAUCAAACCCUAACAUCAAAACCCUCAAAACAUAUGAUACUUAUCUCAAACCAAGAUUUCCUCCAUGCAAGGCUUGAAGAAGAGGGUUGCUCCACCACCAAGCUAACUCUUCUCCACCAUAACUCCACCAUUGGAGCCAUCCCAAGGAGAGAGAGAGAGAUCUAGAAAGAGAAAGAGAGCUCUCAAGUGUUGGGUGUGAAGGGGAAAAUAAGAGGGGAAACCACUCUACCUCUCAUAUAUGCACUCACCAUGGCACAAAUGCACAAAGGCCCUCCAAAUAACAAAGCUCACCCAACUCUGCCACAUUUCGUGUAUGGGGUUCGGACCCUACAGGCAGGGUUCAGACCGCGAGAGCAAUUCCAGCCCAGCAGCUUGGAAUUCCACCAAUUUUGCUCUCCCAUGUCCGAACACCACAUAAAUCAUUCCGAAAUGUCCGGAAUGCAUAACAGACCUCUCUAACAUGUCCGUAACCACACUUCGGUCAAUUUGACGAAAGUUCGGUAUAACCUAUUGGGGAUACGGUAUGUGUAACAUAGCAAUUCCCCGUGAGUCGUGCCGAGUUCCGUCGAAAUGUGCGGAACGCGGAAACGAAUGAGUUACUAUAGGCUAAAAGUGCAUUGGAACCUAUAUAAAUGUCAAAGGGACCCGAGAGAGUGAAAUUGCAAAAUCUGGCUAAGUCCCAAAUUUUGGGCUCUCGGGGACCGGUCCCUGAGAGGAGACACCGGUCCCCGAAAGCGUAUUAGCCGAGCAGAGGGAAAAAUCAUUUAAGUCCUGAAAAUUGAGCUCUCGAGAACCAGUCCCUGGGUGAGAGACCGGUCCCGAGAGACCGGUUGCAUCGGGGGGAGACCGGUCCCCUUCUGCGAAGGCUGCGGGGUAGCUCUCGAGAACCGGUCCCUUGCUUCAAAGACCGGUCUCCGAUUGCGGGUUGCACAGUAAGAGCUGUUUGCAAAAAUGAAAAUGAGAGGGGCUUAAGUGCAAAUGUGUCAUGUGAAGGGUUAUUUGAGCUAGGGCAUGGGUGAGAGCUCAUUUGCUCUCACUCUCACCCUCAAACCUUUCCCUCUCUCUCUGUCACGCCCGGCCCCGAAACCACUACCAAUUUGGCACGGUUCGGCAGCGGCGGCGGGCCGCCGAACGGACAGCACCUCCCCUGUCUGCGCAAGGCUCAACAAUAGGAAUGUGUACAAGAAUUUACCCAGAAAAUUAAAUUCUAAGCAUACACAUUCAAGAGGGCACAAACAGUGCCAACAAUACAGAGAGUAAGCGAUCCACAAGAUAAAACUAGUGAAAUAAAGAGAGUACUUUACUAACUAUUACAAUAGUUCCAACAUUCUCAUUUACAUCAUUUUCUUUAAAUGAAUACAUUUGUCAUCCCAAAAUACAUAGCUCUCCAAAUCCUCACCUACAAUGAAUCUCUCUCUCUAUACAUAGGUGACUAAUGUAAAAAGGAAAGCUACUAUACUACCACGGUCUCACUGGUCGGGCGCGAUGCCCUUGCCGCGGUCCUCUCUCUGCAGCCCUGAACCUACCACUGGAAAUAGAGUGAGGUGAGAACUAUCUUCCAUAGUUCCCAGUGGGCUCGGCCGCCGACUCUGCCGAUCUCCCCACUAGGUCCAAGUGGGCACAAGUA
rnacentral:lncRNA from 1 species